rnacentral:lncRNA from 1 species
AAUGAAUGAACGAUAUCAGAUACUAAAGAUUUAUUAAUCAAAUGGAUGAAUAGCCCCCAUGACCAUUUUGUCGAAAUUAUUGUGUAUAUGUAUGGGCGCUGUAAUCAGCUGGCUGUAAUGUGAUGGUGUACAAGCGAAAUUUCAGGUGACCUGUAAAAACUUUCCUCAAGCUACUACCACAAUAGCUAAUUAAUUAAUCUGAUUGUUUGUAUCCCCUGCGGUUGCCCUGUGACAUCCCUCUCGAUAGGAAGGAGGAAUCUGUUGGAAAGUUCAGCAAAUUUACGAUUAUUUCUCAUGAAUAAUUCAUGACUAAAACGAUACUACCUCCGUCCUGGUUUAUUGGCCCUCUUAGUAUUUUGUAAUCAAAUUUUGACAAUGAAUUUAAUUAAUAAAAUAUUAAUGCAUGUCACAAAAAGUAGUAUCAUUGAAAACUACGUUCAAAUACUAAUCCAAUUACAUAAUUUUUUAUGACAUACAUAUACAUUUUUUAGUUAAAUUUAUGGUCAAAUUUUUGACACAAAAUACAAAGUAGACCAAUAAACCAGGGCGGAGGUAGUAGUUAUUAGUAUGCAUAGUUUUAGCAUACUAGAUAAACAGGACAACAUCAUUGGACAUGCAACAAAUAUCAUAAUUAGAGAUAUAUAAUUCGAGACAUGAUCACAUGAUCAGAUUACAACGCAAGUACCGAUCGUUCGUAGAUGAAGUAGUCGAAGCAGAGGUUGGUGACAAUGGCCCUGCGUGGGUGCGUGACGGUAGUACUACUUUGUGCAUUUUCAAAGCAAAUCAAAAAAUCAUUAUAAAAAUAAAUCAAACCAAACCAAUUUUAUGAUUUCUAGUUUUUGAUACAGUAAGGCUUAAUCAAAUUAAAAUAUAUAUUUAUAUUUCUUGAGCGAACAAGCAAACAAGCAGUCGAGCACGUGAGCUUGUCUCGCUUGCCUUAUCAAACAUUUACACGACCAGACACAAUCUUAAUUACCUCACAUCUACUCUUCACCAGGUCAGUAAGCAAAUUAAGUGGUUUUAAAGUUGCUAUCGUGGUUCGUAUACUCUAACUGACCAAUCAUAGUACCGCAUAAAAGAUUAAAAGGAGUUGUGAUCUGCUCGCUCAGACCCAUGAAAAACUUAAUGGGUAGAUCAAUGGCCCAAAAGAGCUUGGAACGUAGUCAUUUUUGUUGUACAUGAGUCAGAUUCCCUGCUAAACACGUCCAUUUUUCGUAUAACACAGUUCUUUUUCCCUAAAAAAUGGUAAUCACGAUCCAUAAACAACACAAAGUAUGCAUUGCACAUUUGCAUGCUGCAUGCAUGACCCUCCAUCAAGGCAUGAAUCCAUGCAUAUAGAAUAUACAUAGUUAUAUACUGAUUGUAUAGAAAAUUAUGUUACUUCCAAAUUCACGUCAACUUGAUUAUUAUGGUAUAUGCUGAAUCCACACCGAGAUAAUUUAACAUAUACCGGAAUCGAAUCAUAUUUUAAUUUUGUACCAUAUUUAUCGAAGUAUCAAUACCAUACAAACCAAAAAACCAUAUAAACCCGAAUCAUAUAAACUGAAUGCAGUUAGUAGUAGCCAACUGUUUUUUUUUUGAGACAAGUAGCCAACUGGUACGCAACGCACAACUUGUUCGUAAUGAUGGGCUAGCCCCAUCUAAGGGCCUUAAGCGUUUUGUUUCUUCGAAGGCUCCUCCAAGUUUGGAAGCUUCCAAAAGCUUAUGGGCCUGUUUUUUUUUCUUCCCUGUGGUUUUUAAUCGGUUUUUGUUUGUUUUUCCCGUUUCAUCUCUACUUCUUCUCCACUUUUUCACUCGGUUUUGUUCCUUUUUCAUCUGAAUUUGUUUGCUCUUUUCCUUUUAUUUUUUAUUUGAAUAACAUAGUGAGCAUUUUCCAAAUUUCAUGUUUUUUAAUUUAUGAACAUUCUUUGAUUUAGUGAGCAUUUUUUAAAUUUAGGAUUUUUUCCCAAAUACCUCAUUUAAAAAAAAAUCAUGAAUUUUUAAAUUCAUGAACUUUUUUCAAAUGCACACACUUUUUUUAGUUGACGAACAUUUUCUGAAUUUCAUGAAUUUUUCUAAAUGUUUGAAUCUUUCUUCAAAUCCGCAAACAUGUUUUCAAUUUGUUAUUGAUUUUUAAAUUUGCAAAUAUUUAUUGUAUUACUUGGACAUUUUUUAAAAUUUUCAAAUGUUUUUUGAAUUCAUUAACAUUUUUUCAAAUCAACACAUAUUUUUUGCAUUCGUAUUUAUUAAAAUUUUGGAACUUUUUUUCACUCAUGAACCAGUAAAAAUAGAGAAAAUGAGCAAAAAAGCGAGCCAAGGCAAGCGAGCGAGCAAGGCGAGGGCAUGAGCGAACACCUUUUUUGGGCCACGACACACUGACUACGCACGAGUGCGCACUAACGACCUAGCGCUGAAGCACCAAAUAGGGGCUUCUGGGCUAAACUUGGGUUUCAACCAAGCUAGAUUCUAGCCUGAACUAUGGAAGUACCUGGUUUUAAGCCCAUCAACAGGGAAAUUAAUCCUUUUUAUUUAGGAAAGGCCUUCAUGGCUUCAAAUAAUAGUCUCCUGAGGUUCUGAACACUGGUGGGUCAGGCCGGGCGUGGACUCAUCUUAUCUUUGGCCAGACACAAAGCUAGACUCUCGGGCCCAUCCUGAAAACAUAUGUAAGGGAAGCUAGGGAUUAUCUAGGGGGCUAAGGGGGGAGGGGAUCACAUUCUAGAUCAUCUUGGAGCUAGGGUUUUCAUCUAUCCCCAUCUCCCUUCUCUCUAAUGCCAGGUCGUGAGCGGGUAAUCCUAGAAACAAAUCUUUCAGAUCACCCAGUGAGCACUCGAUCAAUAUAAUCACUGUUGGGGAUAUAACCCCACGAUAUGACCCACCAUAUUGUGCCAGGUCUUAUUAGUGGCGGCUGAUGCUUCAAGACUCAAGGCAUGCCGGAGCACUCUAGCCGGGGUUAGCGGGGCGACUCGCCAAGCGGCCCGGCUUGAGGCCCAACAUCCAAAGAUGGAGGCUCAUGCUCAUAAGUGCAAGUCGCCUAGAGUUUCCUUGCUUACAGAAUAAAGCGAGUUAGAAACAGUCUAAGUCACGGGUCCUAGUACGACCCAGACUCUUGUAAGCCCAGGGCCUCGACCUUUAUAUAAAGGCGAGUUCCUGAGGUAGAUAUGGCUAAGUUACAAUCGUUCAAUAGCUAGCUCAAGUGAAUCUGCUCCCUUGUAAUUGAUCAUCCAACAGUAAACAAUAAGCAGGACGUAGGCUAUUACCUUGAUCGUGAGGGACCGGACCUGGGUAAAUCCACGUCUCUCAAUCUGAUCAACCCCGGGAAGCUAACCGCCCGGUUGCGAUGGACUCACGACUAAGUCCUCACACUAGGACAUGUGAUGUGACAAAACUACGGCAGUCGGCGCCCACCGUGGGGCCAACACACGGUGGUUUCGAGUUCUUGAAGGGCUCUUUCCCAGGGAUCGAGCGGUACACUGUUGGUAGGAUGACGAAGAGUCGCCGUGGCAAACUUUACAUCGACGAUGCCGUUUGGGGCCUCGAGGUCGACUCAACCGAGUACGGGUACCGGGUCCCCUUCGGUAAAAUCCAUGUCUUCAUCGGCAAGAUCGACGGAUCUGAGCCUGAGCCGGACUUCUACACUGACCUGGUCGAGCCGGCUCGGCGUGCGCAACCCACCGAGUUUCAAGCUGGCCACAACCAUGUCUUUGUUGGUUUCACGCAAGGUGUGGAACUUGCGGAAAACUCCACGUCUAGAGGAGAGACUCUCGUCUACCCAGGUGAUGAGUCCUCAAUGGGAGACAUAGAGUUAAUUUAUUAGCUUAAUGACGGCGGGCCUGGGGGCUGUGCCGACGGCAAAAUUAUUCCGGACCCCUAUGAGCCGCCGUGCCGAGCCGCCAUCUUUAUGACGGGGACGUUGCUGGCUCUCAACUCUUCGGUGGCUGGAGCGAUGGUGACAAGUGACCCUUCAGCUCCAGCCGCUGGUGUGUCCAGCUCGAUCAGGCCGCCAUUUCAAGUCUUAUCUGAGUUGAUGACCGCCCUGACGACCUUGCUGGUGAUGUCUACUACAUAACUUUAUUCUUGUAGACUCGUGUUGGGCCUCCAAGCAUAGAGUUUUGUAGGACAUUCACAAUUUUCCCUCAAGUGGAUGACCUAAGAUUUAUCAAUCCGUGGGAGGUGUAUUCUUAAGAUGGUCCCUCUCAAACAACCCUGCAAUCAAAUAAUAAGAAGUCUCUUGUGUCCCCAACACACCAAAUACAAUGGUAAAUUGUAUAGGUGCACUAGUUCGGCGAAGAGAUGGUGAUACAAGUGUAGUAACAAUAGUAGAUAUUGAUUUUUGUAAUAGGAAAAUAAGAAACAACAAGGUAGCAAGUACUGGAAAAUGAGGCCUAGGGUCCGUACUUUCGCUAGUGGAAUCUCUCAACAAUGCUAAUAUAAUUGGAUCAUAUAACCAUCCCUCAACGUGCGAUGAAGAAUCACUCCAAAGUUCUUAUCUAGCGGAGAACAUAAGAUGAAUUUUUUGUAGGGUACGAAACCACCUCAAAGUUAUCCUUUCGGAUCGAUCUAUCCAAGAGUUCGUACUAAAAUGACACCAAGUUAUCCUUUCUGAUCUAUCUAUCUAAGAGUUCAUACUAAAAUAACACCAUAUGAUAGACAUCAACCAACUCUAAUGUCACCUAGAUACUCCAAUGUCACCACGAGUAUCCGUGAGUUGAUUAUAUGAUAUGCAUCAAACAAUUUCAGUUUCAUAAUACUCAACCCAACACAAAGAACCUCAAAGAGUGCCCCAAGAUUUCUACCGGAGAAACAAAGACGAGAACUUGCAUCAACCCCUAUGCAUAGACUACCCCAAUGUCACCUCGGGAAUCCGCGAGUUGAGUGCCAAGAUAUACAUCAAGUGCUCUCAAAUCCAACAAAGUGUUCAAUCCGAUAAAAGUGAAAUCUCAAAGGGAAAACUCAAUUCAUCACAACAAGAUAGAGAGGGGAAAACACCAUAUGAUCCAACUAUAUUGACAAAGCUCGCGAUACAUCAAGAUCAUGCCAAAUCAAGAACACGAGAGAGAGAUUAAACACAUAGCUACUGGUACAAACCCUUAGCCCCGAGGGUGGACUCGUCCUCCUCAUCAUGGUGGCCAUCAGGAUAAUGAAGAUGGCCUCUGGUAAUGUUUUCCACCUCUGGUAGGGUGCCGGAACAGGGUCUAGAUUGGUUUUUUGUGUCUACAGAGGCUUGCGGUGGUGGAACUUCUGAUCUAGGGUUAUUUCUGGAGGUUUCUGUAUUUAUAGGAGUUUUUUGGCGUUGGUUUCACGCGAAGAUGGGCUUCGAGGGGCCCAUAACCCACCAACACAUGGGCAAGGCACCUGGCUCACCUGGUAGGUUGUGCUCACCUCCUUCACCUUCUGAUCUUCCCAUGAAGCUUCUAGUGCCUCUUCUGUUCUAAAAAAACAUCAAAAAGUUUCGCUGCAUUUGGAGAACUUUGAUUUCCGCACAAAAAACAACACCAUGGUAGUUCUGCUGAAAACAACGUCAGUCCAUGCUAGUUUCAUUUAAAUUAUAAUAUAAAAUUGCACCCAAACCAUAUAAAAUUGUUGUAAACAUGGCAUGAAUACUUCAUAAAUUUAGAUACGUUGGAGACGUAUCAGCUAGCGACUAAAGUUACUGCGGAAAACCAGGAAGAACGCAAUGCAGAGAUUGCAAAGAUCCGGGAGCAUAUGACUAAAGCCCAGGAGGAUAUUAAUACUGAGAGUACCCAGACAUCCACAUUGCAAGCUCAUAUCCAUGUAGAGCUGGAGCGCCUAAAGUCAGAGGCUUGGCACUUAAACCUGGAUCAGAACGCCUCUAAUGCAGUUCAUCGGAGGAGUGAUACGUCUCAGUCGUAUCUAUAAUUUUUGAUUGUUCCAUGCCAAUAUUCUACAACUUUUACAUACUUUUGGCAACUUUUUAUACUAUUUUUGGGACUAACAUAUUGAUCCAGCGCCCAGUGCUAGUUCAUGUUUGUUGCAUGUUUUUUGUUUCGCAGAAAAUCCAUAUCAAACGGAGUCCAAACGGGAUAAAAACGGGCCGAGAUUAUUUUUGGAAUAUUUUUGAAUUUUGGGAAGUGGAAUCAACGUGAGACGAUGCCCGAGGGGGCCACGAGGCAGGGGGCGCCCCCUAGGGGGGUGGGCGCGCCCCUGACCCUCGUGGCCACCCCGUAAGGCAGUUGGUGCCCUUCUUUCGCUGCAACAAAGCUAAUAUCCGGAGAAAAAUUGUGUUCAAAGUUUCAAUCCAAUCGGAGUUACGGAUCUUCGGGAAUAUAACAAACGGUGAAAAGGCAGAAUCAGGAACGCAGAAAAGAGAGAGACAGAGAGACAGAUCCAAUCUCAAAGGGGCUCUCGCCCCUCCCAUGCCAUGGAGACCAUGGACCAGAGGGGAAACCCUUCUCCCAUCUAGGGAGAAGGUCAAGGAAGAAGAAGAAGGGGGCUCUCUCCUCUCUCCCGGUGGUGCUGGAACGCCGUCGGGGCCAUCAUCAUCACCGUGAUCUACACCAACACCUCCAUCAUCUUCACCAACAUCUCCAUCACCUUCCCCCAUCUAUCUACAGAGGUCCACUCUCCUGCAACCCGCUAUACCCUCUACUUGAACAUGGUGCUUUAUGCUUCAUAUUAUUAUCCAAUGAUGUGUUGCCAUCCUAUGAUGUCUGAGUAGAUUUUUGUUGUCCUAUCGGCAAUUGGUGAAUUGCUAUGAUUGGUUUAAUUUGCUUGUGGUUAUGUUGCUGUCCUUUGGUGCCCAUCAUAUGAAUGCGCGCGUGGAUCACACCAUAGGGUUAGUUGUAUGUUGAUAGGACUAUGUAUUGGAGGGAAAGAGUGACAGAAGCUUCAACCUAGCAUAGAUAUUGAUGCAUACGGGAUUGAAGGGGGGCCAAUAUAUCUGAAUGCUAUGGUUGGGUUUUACCUUAAUGAACGUUACUAGUUGUGGAUGCUUGCUAAUAGUUCCAAUCAUAAGUGGAUAGAAUUCCAAGUCAGGGAUGACAUGCUAGUAGUGGCCUCUCCCACAUAAAACUUGCUAUCGGUCUAGUAAAGUAGUCAAUUGCUUAGGGACAAUUUCACAACUCCUACCACCACUUUUCCACACUCGCUAUACUAACUUUAUUGCGUCUUUAUCUAAACAGCCCCUAGUUUUUAUUUACGUGCUCUUUAUAUUCUUGCAAACCUAUCCAACAACACCUACAAAGUCCACUACAAAAAAAGACACAUCCGUGACAUUUUGGGCCGAACGAAUUUUUUUUCUGUCAUACAUAUGACACUUCUAUGAUGAUAAUUGUGACAAAACCCGGUAUCAUCAUAGAUGUGGUGGGCUCCUACUUCUAUGACAAAAAAUCAUGACAGAAAAUGGGCUUUUCGUCCUGGGCGGGCCGGUGACGCAGCUGCAUGACAUUCUUUGGGCCGUCCAUGACGGAAAAAACCGUGGUAGAAGCGAGGGCGAGGAAAAUUUUGGGGAGUUCCCGGUUACGGUGGGAGGUCGGGGGCUGAGCGAUGCGCGUUUCUCUCAUACACGUACGCGCGUGUGUGCGGGGCGUUGGCUCUAACUGAACCCGAGCGAGGCGUUGGGCUCUAACUGAACCCGAGCGAUUGCACUGCAGGCUACGCGUUACUGAACCCGAGCGAUCGAUCGAUGGCUGUUAACUGAACCCGAUCAAGCGAUUCCUUCGCUACUUCUGCUAACUAAUGCCGAUCGAUUGGAUGAACUAUGAGCGUUGCGGGGGGGGGGGGGGUGGAUGAACAGUGAGCGGUGGCGUUGCCUCUGGAUGAACAGGACCCCAUGGUGUGGAGGGCUGGAUGAACAGUAGACGGUGGAGGGGUGCCCGUGGAGGGGUGGAUGAACAGGACCCCGUGGUGUGGAGGGCUGGAUGAAUAGUAGACGGUGGAGGGGUGCCCGUGGAGGGGUGUAUNNNNNNNNNNNNNNNNNNNNNNNNNNNNNNNNNNNNNNNNNNNNNNNNNNNNNNNNNNNNNNNNNNNNNNNNNNNNNNNNNNNNNNNNNNNNNNNNNNNNNNNNNNNNNNNNNNNNNNNNNNNNNNNNNNNNNNNNNNNNNNNNNNNNNNNNNNNNNNNNNNNNNNNNNNNNNNNNNNNNNNNNNNNNNNNNNNNNNNNNNNNNNNNNNNNNNNNNNNNNNNNNNNNNNNNNNNNNNNNNNNNNNNNNNNNNNNNNNNNNNNNNNNNNNNNNNNNNNNNNNNNNNNNNNNNNNNNNNNNNNNNNNNNNNNNNNNNNNNNNNNNNNNNNNNNNNNNNNNNNNNNNNNNNNNNNNNNNNNNNNNNNNNNNNNNNNNNNNNNNNNNNNNNNNNNNNNNNNNNNNNNNNNNNNNNNNNNNNNNNNNNNNNNNNNNNNNNNNNNNNNNNNNNNNNNNNNNNNNNNNNNNNNNNNNNNNNNNNNNNNNNNNNNNNNNNNNNNNNNNNNNNNNNNNNNNNNNNNNNNNCAUAAGAGGUCCGUUUCAUCCGUUUUGCGGUACGCCACACCCCUCUUGAUCAACAGGACCCCCGUUUCGACCGUAGGAGGUCCGUUUCAUCCGUUUUGCAAUACGCCAUACCCCGCCCGAUCAACAGGACCCCCGUUUCGACCAUAGGAGGUCCGUUUCCUCCGUUUUGCGGUACGCCAGACCCCUCCCGAUGAACAGGAUCCCACUUCGAAUGUGGCCGGUCGAACACAAGGCCGUUUCCUCCGUUCCGUGGUACGCCAGGCCUUGUUUCCAUCGUCUGUUCUGUCCAAGCCCUCCCGAUGAACACAACCACACAUUCCGUUCUGACCCAGCAGGUUGGCUCCCCAUGAACACGACGACGCCGCUGUUUCUCCAUUCCGACCCAGCCAAUGUACACGAGCCCUAGUCGUACGUAUAUAUGCGCGAGUAGGCGUUCGAUACCCCGCCCGUAUGUACACAUACGUGGCCAUAUUUUCUUUCUUGCACCCUGGCCGCUGUACGUACGUGUACAUGCUACGUGCGCGCCUCUACUACGACAUGUGCGCGCCUCUACUACGACACGUGCGCGCCUCUACAUCGACCAGUAUAUAUGUACGUACACGUUCGCGACCAGAAUGACAAUGCUACGUACGCUUCGACCAGGUGGGUCCCGACUGUCAGGCCCUUCCUUGCGUGCGAAGAUGUAGCUGGUGGGUCUCAGCAGUCAUGGGGGCGAAUCAUUUUUUUCGAACGCACUUCCUUGCGUGCGAAGAUGUAGCUGGUGGGUCCCAGCAGUCAGGGGGGCGAAUCGUUUUUUUCCGGACGCACUUCCUUGCGUGUGAAGAUGUAGCUGGUGGGUCCCAGUAGUCAGGGGGAAACGUUUUUUUCGCGAAAUACAGUGACCCGUCUGGUGGGUCCCAGUUGUCAGGUGGAGGAAUCAUUAUUUUCCGCGUAAUAAGGAGGCACUUCCUUGCUGCGGCCGUGGACCCAGCUGUCAGCCUUUCCACGUACAGUCCAGAUCCGAUGGAAGCUGUUCAUUGACCAUGUUGACCACGCCGUGCCGAGAGCACCAGGGCGGUGGACGACGGCGAGGCCUAGGAAGGGGACGAUGCAGCAGUGGAUGCCCACACGUAGAGGAGUACGAGGGUUCACUGGUUCACUGCGGUGUGAGGCUGCCGUCACCGCAGAAUAACAGGGGGUGUGGGUGAGUAGAGGGAUGGCCUGGCUAGCGAUGGGAGUAGUAGGCGGCGGUGAGGCCUCCGCCACAUCGCAUCUGGCCACGGGAGGCAGGAGCACGAGGCACGACCGGCGCUGGUUUGGGCGGCUCGAGCAAGAAGACCAGAGGUUGAAGAAGCACUACGACCGUUGGAUGGACAUCGUAUGGUCACUGGAGCUAGAAUCGUGCAUAUUGACUAAGUUGACAAAGCCCUCCAUCCCCGUCAACUUAGUAGGCCCACAAGUCAGCCUGCCACUAUACUGGGUCCUAGCUAAUAGGGGGAGUAAUCAUUUUUUUGUGCGUAAUAAGGAGGCACUUCCUUGUGUGCAAAAAUAUAGCUGGUGGGUCCGAGCUGUCAGCGACGGUAAUGUUUUUUUCGCGAAAUACAGAGGCCCUUUCGGUGGGUCCCUGAUGUCAGGUGGAGGAAUCAUUAUUUUGUGCGUAAUAAGGAGGCAUUUCCUUGCGUGCGGCCGUGGACCCAGCUGUCAGCCUCUCCACGUACAGUCCACUUCAGAUGCAUGUCGGUCAUUGACCACGUUGACCAGGCCGCGCCGAGAGCACCAGGACGGUGGAUGACGUCGAGGCCUAGGAAGGGAACAACACGGAGGCAGGGAAGACUCGGCAGUUGUUUCCCACGCGGAGGGGAGUACGACUGUACGAGGGUUUACUUGUUCGUCUGCCAUCGCCGGAGAAUAACAGCAGGUGUGGGUGAGUAGAGGGAUGGCUAGGCCAGCGAUGGGAGUACGGUGGGGGCGGUGAGGCCUGCGCGGCAGCACAGCCGACCGCGGGGAGGAGGGAGCAGGCAGUCCUACCGGCGCUUGUUUUAGCGGCUGGAGCAGGAAGAGCAGAGAUUGAAGAAGCACGACAGCCGUUCGAUGGACAUCCAACAGUCACUGCUUGUGCAUCAACCUUUUUUUAGGAAAGCCUCAAAUUUGUGGAAAACAACAUACAACCCAUCUGCCAUUAUUUCUAAUAAUUUACAACCCAUUUGCUAAUUCUUAAGGUUUUUUUUGGAGCCCAUAUUCUUUUUGUUAGCAUUACAACCCAUAUUGAGGCCAAGGUUAAAAAAUUAUACGAAAUUUUGCAUAUUUUGGUGCGGUCCGAACUGUUUUUAAUCCCGAAAUUUCCACUCACAUUCAAACUGAUUUUAAAAAGAAAUGUAUAUCAAUAUAAAAUCCAACAAAUUCUCCACGCAUAAAAAAUAAUGUAAUUUAAAAUCUCGAAAUGAAAAAAGAUAUUUGAAACUAAUUGCCGGUUUGAUGUGUUUUAAAAAUGUACAACCCAUUUCUCAUUACUAAUAGGCCAUUUUCUCGGCCAGCCGAAUGAAGCUCUCCUUGUGUUGAAAGAUUUGCAGCCCAACAGGCCUGACAAAGCGACUUACUUGGCAAAUCACAAAAAAACUGGGUUGUGGCCGUGGACCCAGCUGUCAGCCUCUCCAUGUACGGUACUCUUCUGAUGGAAGUCGGUCAUUGACCACAUUUACCACACUGCGCCGAGAGCACCAAGGCGGUGGACGACGGCGAGGCCUAGGAAGGGGACGACGCGGAGCCAGGGAAGACGCGGCAGUGGAUGCCCAGCGGAGAGGAGUUCGAGGGUUCACUGGUGCGGCUGCGGCGUGAGGCUGCCGUCGCCGCAGAAUAACAGGUGGUGUGGGUGAGUAGAGGGAUACCCUGGGCCAUCAGUGGUAGUAGUAGGGGGCGGUGCGGGUGGUGUGCCCGCACGAAGGCUAUGGGCUCUACGUCACUUACCACAAGCUCGCCCAUCACCAGAGCGUGUGUCCGCUCGCGCCCUGCAAAUGCCCGGUGCCCGUCUGCGGCUAUGAAGGCCCGCUGCUGGCGCUCUACCACCACAUCAGCAACACGCAUCCCAUGCCCGUGCAAAGGAUCCAGUACGGCAAGGUGCUCCAGCUGCAAGUUCCACUAUCGGAGCCACGACUCUUGCUGUUCGCGGAGGAGGACGGCCGCGUGUUUUUCUUGGUCGGCGGCGUGCUCGACAUCGGUGCGCCUAUCACCGUGUCGGUAGUCUGCAUUAGAGCGGGGGCGUCCCCACUGCUGCACUACGUGGCCAAGCUGUGGGCGAACGGCCCGCCGGGGGAGCCCAAAGGCACGACCGACACCAUCAAGGUGGAAAUGGAGGUGACAAGUAGCAAGGAUCCCAGCGACGUCGACGUGCAGGAGUUGACCUUCUUCACAGUUCUGCACAAGCUACUGGCCGGGGCUAAGCUGGCGUCCCUCCACAUUCAGAUUGACAAGCUCACUUCCUAAAUGUUUCUACAGUGCCUUCUAUUUAUCUUAGUAAUAUGCUAAUAUAGGGAUUACCUCGGUCUACUUUAGCUUAAGAAAUGGUGGGUUUUGGUGGCGAUGCAGCAAUUACUUCGACAUCAGAUCAGUAAUUUCCAACAGUCGAACGGAUAUUUUGUGUCUGUUGGAUAUAAAGUUCCUUUGGGUAAGAAGUACUAGAUAAAUAUAGAUGUAUGUAGACGUAUUUUAGUUACUGAUCCACUUUUUAUCCAUUUUGAUGACAAGCACUCCCUCCGUUCCACAAUACAUGCCUUCCAUUUGUCAAAAUAUAGAUAUAUCUAGACAGGUUUUAGUAUAUAGGUACAUCCAUGAUAGAGCCAGUCGGAUGGUUGAGAACACUACAAUUUGUAGCUACAGAUGCGUGUGUGACUCCCAGAUGUAGAAGCUGGGGGUCAUCAUCCUCCUUUUUGAGAAAAAACAGACGCCUGUGUGAGAGGACGAGUGCGUGCGUGCACCUCUUAUCUUCCUGUAUAACAUACUAAACUCAGAGUACAAGUUUUUGUGGGUGGCACGAUGGUGCGUGCGAGAAGUCCCGAGAGAUAGGUUUAAUGCGUCUAAAAAUACUAGCCUAUAGCUCGCCACGCAGCUAUUCCUGUCGAACGCCCCAUUAACCAUAAGAUAUGUAUACGACGGUGCCAGUUAUUGCACGUACACAGUAGAAAAAGUACACCACGGCUAAGAACACGUGCCCACGUAACGCCAUCCGAGAAUAGUGCCGCACUUCGAAACUAGAACCAUUAAUAAAUUUUGAGCUUGCGUCUCGUCACAUUCCAAAUUACUCCAUGCUAUAUUGAAUUGCAAACCUGUUCACACCGAUCACAACCUAAAUGGUUUCCCAUGUAGAAGUUAAUGCACUGCGCAUGAGUGUUUUGGGAUUAUUUGGUUUUCAUAAGAUGACUUACACACCUAGACGGAGGGAGUAGUACUAUGUUCUAAAUACUAGUAUGCCAAGAUGACUGCACAUUCGUCCUCAACUCCUCAUCCACAAAAACAAACAAGUCAUUCAACAUCCUUCCCUUGCGUCUGCCAUGGCCAGCGUGAGUUCUGGGUCGAGAGAUUACCACCAGGGAGAGGCGAGUAUGGAUGCGGAAGCACGAGAGAUGUCCCGCCUCGCUGCGAAAGCAGCCGACAUGUCCCGCCAUGCGGAAGUAGCAGCACAGAGGUCCCACCGCGCCGCUGAAGCAGCAUGGCGGUCCCGCCGCGCCGUUGAUGCAGCAGACUGGUCCGGCCGCACCGCGAAAGCAGCAGAGAUGUCCCGCCGUGCUGCGGCGGCCUGGGAAAAUUUCUCGCGGGCAGGCGACUGCUGUUACAGGAGCAUGCAUGUGAUCGUCCAUAGCCAGAUGGAUCAGAUCUCUGGCUGGGUGAGGUUGCAGGACGACAUGAAAGCCUCGUUUGAACAGGCUACCAGCAUCAUCCGAUAACUAAGGGAGGGCAAUGAGAGGCUCCGGGCCGAGUGCGACCUACUGAGGGCAAAGAUUGUCCGAAGUGCACACCAGCAGGAGGAGACCAGUGCCUUGUUGAAGAGGACCAGCGUCAUCGUCAAGAAACUUAUGGACGAGAAUGACAUGCUCCGCAUUGAGCGCCAAAGGCUGGUGGAGGAAUCCGUAGAUGCUCUCAAGCAGCGUCUUGAGGACACGAAAGAGCUCAUCGCCGCUCGCCGUGGAGACUAGUUCCCGCGGCCUGCAGCAACGCAUCAAGAAAGUAGAGAUCAGCGAGCCAGAUCCUUGUCUUCCUUCUUAUUUUUCCCUUGUGUAUUUCGGGCGUAGCCGCAUGUGGUUUUUUUAAUUAUCUUUCUAAUUAUGUAAGACAAUUAAUCGCCUUUAUAUAUUCAUCAGUCUUGCUAUAAGUCGCAGUAGAUGCUAUAUAGGUCCGUCGGAUCUUACAUCAAGAUCCGUGCUUUUAGAUUUUCUUUUUUCUCUCUUAAAUGUCAGUCGAGUGAGACAUAGCCACGCCAUUAAACAGAGGCUCGGGCGCCAUUAAUGGAGACCUAGGGAGAGAGGUAGACGGCAGAUGGAGGUCAAAGGGCUCUUCUCCCGAUAAGCACGCGUAGGGGUCUGAUCGCACGCCUCUCAUACUCAAAUAGCUACCCCGCAUGGCGCCUCCUAGCUAAUAAAAAAUGGGGACGCGUGGCGGCAUGUAAAUGGUAGUAAGUAGAACGCCCACGGUUUCAAUAAUACUUGUGUUUCCGAUUGUAAUGUGACAACACUUGUUCCAAAAUGACUUUGUUGAUUGUUAAUGUGUGCACCUUCGCAAAUCGAACAUGGCACCAAGCCAAGUUUCAUUAUUUUCAUGCGUGUUUUGGAUUUACAAGAAUUAAAAAACUAAGUUUCUCAAUGUUUCCAGCCCAGCCAUGAUGCCCAGAAUUUUGAUUUUCAUUCCCAUUUCUUGUAUGGAACCUAGAAAUUUACCCGAGGACACACAUGUGAUUUUUUAACCAACUUUGGUGCACUGUAACAUGUGCUUGUAUUUCAAAUUUGAAUUAUGCACACAAAGGUGACAUGUUCCCUCUCAGAACCACGAGCCUUCUUGAGAGAAGCUCCGAUUUGCAAGAAGCUUAUACCCAAAUUUGUUCCUAUUCGGCCAAUUUUUUUACCAUGGCAUGGUACUACCAUGACAUGACACCAAGCCAAGUAUCAUGCUUUUAAAACCAAGUUUCUCAAUGUUCUCGACCGAGCCACGAUGCCCAGAUGUUUGAAUUUUAUUCUCAUUUUUUGCAUGGGACCUAGAAAUUCACCCGAGGACACAAAUGUGAUUUUUCAACCAACUUUGGUGCACGGGAGCAUGUGCUUGUAGUUCAAAUUUGAAUUAUGCACAGUAAAUGACCAAAAACUCAAUUAAUGUGUAAAAAAGGCCAAAUGAAGCCGGAAUGAUUUCCAAAAUUUAACAGGGAACUCAUGUAGUUCUAUGUUGCCUUUGUAAAUAAACUCAAGGGGGGACAACGUAUAUCGUUUCACACUCAAAGGUGGCACGUUCCCUCUCAGAACCACGAGCCUUCUUGAGAGAAGCUUCGGUUUGCAAGAAGCUUAUACCAAAAUCUAUUCCUAUUCGACCAAUUCUUUUACCACAACAUGGUAGUACCAUGACAUGACACCCAUGCCAAGUUUCAUGAUUUUCAGACGUGUUUUGGAUUUACAAGAAUUUAAAAACCAAGUUUCUCAAUGUUCUCGGUCGAGCCACGAUGCCCAGAUGUUUGAAUGUUAUUCUCAUUUCUUGCAUGGGACCUAGAAAUUCACCCGAGGACACAAAUGUGAUUUUUCAACCAACUUUGGUGCACGAGAGCAUGUGCUUGUAGUUCAAAUUUGACUUAUGCACAUUAAAUGACCAGAAACUCAAUUAAUGUAUAAAAACGACAAACAAACCCGAAAUAAUUCCAAAAUUUAAUAGGGCACUCAUGUAGUUCUAUGUUGCCUUUGUUAAGAAACUCAAGGGUGGGGGGGGGGCAGCGUAUAUCGUUUCACACUCAUAGGUGGCACGUUCCCUCUUAGAACCACAAGCUUGCAAAUCGGCCCAAUUUUUUACCACAACAUGUUAGUGCCAUGACAUGACACCAUGCCAAGUUUCUUGAAUUCUAGACAAGUUUUGGAUUUACAUGAAUUUAAAAUUUAAGUUUCUCGAUGUUCUCGGCCGAGUCACGACGCCCAGAUGUUUGAAUUUCAUUCUCAUUUCUUCCAUGGGACCUAGAAAUUCAACCAAGGACACCCAUGUGAUUUUUCAACCAACUUUGGUGCACCGGAGCAUGUGCAUGCAGUUCAUAUUUAGAUUAUGCACUUUAAAAGUCCAGAAACUCAAUUAAUGUAUAAAAAGGCCAAAUGAACCCGAAAUAAUUCCAAAAUUUAACAGGGCGCUCAUAUAGUUCUAUGUUGCCUCUGUAAAGAAAAUCAGGGGGGAGGCAGCGUAUAUCAUUUCGCACACAAAGGUGACACAUUCCCUCUCGGAACCACGAGGCUUGUUGAGAGAAUCUCCGGUUUUGGAAGAAUCUUAUACCAAAACUUGUCCCAAUUCAGCCAAAAAUUAUACAUAUGAAAACAUGGUUUAGAUUAUCCCGAACAUCUCGCUACCUAGACCAAUAAUGUACUAUGAUUUGCAUUCAACAUAAAAUGGAUACAAAUAUUUGAAUCGGAGAGCGCAUGGUACAUGUAGUUCAUAGUGAAAUAUGAUUACUGCUAUAUGCAUGUUUUUUUAAUCAAGAUAAUAUUUAAAUUAUUUUAUAACUUGACAACAAUCGUGUUCAAAUAAGGAAAAUUGAUUCAAAUUUAGUCCGUAUGGUAGACGACAAUAUAUAUGUUCACAUGGUGGAGUAAAAUGUUCAUAUAUGAUGGAAGAUCAAAAUGUACGACUACAUCAACUAUAAACCGCAAGGUCACCUAACGAUAUAUUCGAAUUCAAUGUAACGUGGAUUCAAAAAUUGAAAUUCGAGAUCAUGGCAUCUGUAGUCAUAUAAAAAGGGACAUUAGUCUUUCUUUGGUGGGAACUGAUUUGUUUUUUGUUGCUGUUGAGGGAAGUGGAAUCGAUUUGGUACUGUGCAGGGUAAUCUUGUUCUCCCGAUUUUUUUUACAUUUUUCUUGUAGUUUUUUCAAUGGCAUCUAUAGAAAUAUAGUAAAAGGGGACAUGACUCUCUUGUGUCUUGUAUGAAUUGUUUUUUUACACAUUAACUUUGUUCUGCCGAACAAGGAAUCCGCACCUUGUUAUCCCGAAAUUUUCAAGCUCGAGUAUGUUUUGUCUCACCUGCUUUGAAACUCCCACUUCUUCGCCCCCCGCCGCACCUUGUUAUCCCAAAAUUUGGACGCGCGCGAGAACUCCCUCCUCAUCAGAAAUUGCUCCCGCAGCCUAGACACACGAAAUCCCCCUUCUACCCCUCAGCCGAAAAUGAAGCCCCUCGAUCUCACGGGGCUGUCGGUGCUUGAUACCGAGCAGACAUGGCGGGUCUCCAUCGACGACACCGUCGCCGGCCACAUCAUCCACGGCAUCUCUCCCCCAUGUCGUUGCUUCCUUGGCGGCGACUUCCAUAACAACACUAGCUACAGCUGCUCCGGCUCUCGCUCACGUUGUGGCUCUAUUCUUGCUGUCGUUCGUGCUGCUGCUCUGCUCUUGCUCUCGCUUGCGCUGCUGCUGCUGCUGCACGACCUCCGGCAGCUACAGGAGUUGCUACUUUAGCACUCGCUCGCGGUGCUACUGCACGACUUGCUCUCUGCUAGUGUGUUCCCUGCUCGAGCGUCUGCUGAUUUAGAUCACUGCUUCUCUGCUACUAGUGCUCGAACGCCCUAAACAUCUAUUGCAAUGCUCUAUUACUAGUUCAAUCAUUUUCGACAGUAAAAUUCAGUUUCGACUAUGAAGUUCAUUUUCUUCAGUUAAGUUCAGAGUGAACAAUACUUAUAGCAUCUGUCGGAGCGGCCGUGGCGCGGCUGAUGCGUUUUACAUCUAGCACUUUUUGGUGAUGUAUUUUACAUCAUCUAUUGCAGAUGAUAUUAGGGUCCCACUUCAGAUUAACGUUGUCUGUCUUGUCAUGCUUCAGCCUCGUUGCCGUACACCUUAGCAGAGCUGCUCCAAUGAUGGAACCGUCCAUCACAGCGGAGCAGUACCCACGGUGCCAUUUCCAGAGGCCUCAGAUGUUCUUACUUGCCUCCGACAGUCACACCAGCAUCAUCACCAUCCUCCACGUCCAACCCAAUGAUGCUGAGGUCCACAAGGCUAUGCCAAAGAGGUUGUACACUCGUCGCAUCACUUUGUUUCUCCAUUCCUCUAUUCUUCCAAUUCAUGUGAGCCAAACACCCAGGUUGACUGAAAUCCUAUGUUUCCAAAUGCUUUGUUUUGCACGUGCAUUCCUAUUCUAUUCCUGUGUUUUUCCUGUCCCUGCGUUUAUAGAAUCCUCCAAUUCUAAGGAGCCCUUACAGAUUUACUUCAUUUUUAGAUCGGCAUCAAAGAAAACUCUGUGUGUUAUGUCCUGCUCCUGCCGUGCCAUCAUCCACCCCACCUGAGGUGCACCAUCGAUAGAAGCAUUCACUGCAGUAGAGAUCCCCCCUACAGACUUUCUUUCGCCGCCUCUGAUCAUCUUCCCCGUUGCCGGCAGCCACGCCAACUGCAUUACCAUCAUCGACUGAGCAGAUGAACUUGAGGACUACACAGUUCCGGAAGAGAGGUUGCAGUCUUUCAUGUUUGCUUACGUUAUACAUCGGUUAUUAUUACUUGCUACUUUAUCGUUCAAUCUUGAUUUUUGAAUUGCCCAUGGGUCUCAUAUCGAGCCAGCAACGAAUAGUAUCUGUCUACUAUCUGGUUCAUCUGGGGUCUUGUAUGUGGUUCAUGUUGGGUGGGCAACAAACAAUAGAUGAUCCAUUGUCUAUCUUUUUAAACUGAAGCUAUAAUCUACCUGCUACCAUCAGUCUUGAUUUUUUCAUGCACCCCUUAGGCCUUACAAAAUCUAACUAUUUUUUUAUUAUGCAUGUCAGAUAUUGUACACAAUCAUACUGAACAUGUAGAGAAAAAGAGAAGACCGUUGCGUGCGAAUAUAAUGUCAUGCAGACGCCGCUCCAUGGUGGGCGAAGUGUUGCCCUCCUGCAUUUCCAGAUUGUAUUCCAGAGGAAGAUAACUGUUCAGAUGGAGAUUCAGUAGGAGCCAACCAUGCCUGUUUACCACCUGAGGUGUUUGCUCUAACCUGGCAUGCUGAUGUUGGUCAUAUCAUGCAUAUGGCGCCUUGCAUUGCUUACAUUAUACAUCUUAUAUGUCAUCAGCUUAGUUUAGAUUUGCUUUGUGUGAAUGCCACCUGUUUGGUUUCUAUAUCAUACUCCCACCAUUCCUAAAUAUUUUUACUUUUUAGAGAUUUCAACAAGUGACCAGCUUUUUAGUCAUCGUAUAUGUGAAUUGUAUCGUGCCAUAUUUUUUUCCAUAAUGUAUUCCAUUUGUCAACAAUGUUUAUACAUUCAUCUACUCUUCUUGUGCAUCAGCCAUUUGAGUCGGUCAUGGGAAAAUUUGGAGUGAAAACAAGGUCUUCUGAGCAGUCAGUGCUACCUGUCGAUGCAGAUUUCUUGCUGGUUACAGAUAGCUCCUUAGAGGAGGAUUCAAAGAGAGAUGACCAGUCGUAUCCCCCCCGAGGUGCAUGCUCUAACUUGGCUGGGUUAUAUUGCUCAUAUCAUGCAUAUGUGUCUUGCAUUGCCAUGCCAUCUGCUUAGAUUAGACAUGCUUUGUGUGAAUGCCUCCUGUUUGCUUUCUAUAUCAGAUAUGUGAAUUAUGCAAUGCCAUGUUUUCAGCCAGUUAUCAUAUAUGUGAAUUAUGCACCACCAUGGAGCCAGGCAUCAUAUAUGUGAAUUAUCUCAUGCCAUAUUUUUUUUCAUUACGUAUUUCAUUUGUUGACAAUCUAUGUAUAUUGAACUACUCUUCAUGUGUAUCAGCCAUUUGAGCUGGGUAUGGAAAAGUUUGGAGUGAAAACAAGGUCUUCAGAGCAGGCAAUGGUACCUGUUGAAGCAUAUAUCUCGAUGGUUACAGGGAGCUCCUCAGAGGAGGAUUCAGAGACAGAUGACCAGUCCUAUAUCCCACCUGAGGUGUAUGCUCCAAGUUGCAAUGUUUAUAUUUCUCAUAUGAUGCAUAUGGUGUCUUGCAUUGCUUAGUUUAGACAUCAUAUGCACAAUAUUGAAUUCUAUCAGCUUAGUUUAGAGAUCAUACAUGCGAGUGCCAGCUGCUUAGUAUAUGAAUCAAUUAUGUCAAUUAUAUCAUGCCAUCCUGUAUACUUAGACAACAUGUAUGUGAAUUAUUUCAUCCCAACCUAUUUUAGAAAGACAUCAUAUAGUUUUGUCAUGUCAUCCUGUUUAGGUACUCAUCAUAUGUUGAAUUAUGCCGUUAUAUCCUGUUAAGUUAUCCAUCAUAUAUCUGAAACUGUGUCAUGCUAUCCUGUUUAGUUAGGCAUCAUAUAUGUGAAAUUGUGUCAUGCUGUCCUGUUUGGUUAGACAACAUAUAUGUGAAUUACCACAUCUGUCUAUCAUACAAUGUCUGUACGUUCAAUUUCUUUUCUUGUUUAUCAGCCAUUUGAAUUGGAGGGGGUGAUGGCAGUAUCUAAGGGAGCAAAAACCCGUUCUUCACAAAAGACAGUGCUACCCAUCGAUGCAGAUAGAACCAUGGUUGUACUGGCCCACAAACUAGCCCCACCACACAUAAUCGAGACUCUUCCAGAUUGCACACUUACACCGUUGGGCAGAGAACCAGCUACAACCCAUCUAACUGCAACCCCAGCGGAUAGUAACCCACUUAUAGUUGACAAAGCACCAUGUCCACCACAGAGUACCCCCACACGAGCAGUUUGUAAAGCUACUGUAGUGCCCAAAGCACAAAGACCACCACAGCUAACCCAAACUCCACGUUUAAAGUAGAAGAGCAACUAUUCUCAGGUCAGAUUCCGUAGCUAUGGUCCAUACUCCUUUGUUGUUGCAUCACUGUAUUUACUCAUACCAAUUACUUUUGAAUUUGAAGGAUCCAAUUGGAACUCCAAUGGUGCAACAGGUAUGUUUUAAACCCAUUUCUUUAAUUGGAUUGUUGUUCUAACUUCUUGCUCUAUGUUGAUUUCAGUUUAAGUUGUAUAAACAAUUAUGUUCUCAUGUGAUGCGCAUUACAAGUGCUGCCAAUGCUGUGUAGUUUCUCACACUUAUAUUCUGUCUAUGCUGCUGUGUCUUAAAAAUAUAUGAGUUGAACUGUGUCUCUAUCUUGAUUAGGGAACAUAAACUAGAGUGAUAUGGACAAUACAGUGACCAUAGUACAUAGAUAUAUGUUUGUUUCAUGCUGUUAUCCUGUCCACCUUACUACUGAACCGGUUUACCAAAAUGAGUUUCGUAUACUACAGGCUAAACCUGUGAUGUGUCUGCUUGUUUCUCUUGUAGUAUGCAAAUAGAAUAUUGGAGAAGAGCACCCCACUAUGCAAUGGUAGAGAAAGUAAUGCAGAUAAGGUUCAAGAUAGUGAGACAACCCUGUUGGUCUCCAAGAAAGGUGAUAAAAAUGAUCUUGUAGACAGUGAGAAAACCCCAUAGUCCUGCGUUGAUGUAGUGUUCGAGUUACUGGCCAGUACCGCUGGCACAAGCUCUUUGAACUCGCUGCCUGAAUCACUUUAGCUUCUUCAGUCUCAGCUACAAGCUGAAAGGCAUCAGUCAGCUGUGCUGCGGCAAGAAGUCGAAGGACUGAGGAAGUCCCUGCAGAAUUCAGAUGUGUACUUUCUUGUGCAAUAGCAAGCGCUGGAGGAUUUAAGCGCCAAACAAGAGAAAGUUAAUAAGCUUGCUAAGCAUCUUGCCAGCAUUAUGGGUACCCAGGAUAUUGUUUCUUGAACUCUUCCGAAGUGGUUUCAGUUCUGGACUUGUUUUGCUACGACGUUUAUAUGCUGCUUUGUUCCCUAUAUUUGCACUGGUGGCGAACGUUGAUGCCCAGUGGAUGUAAUAUGUGUAAUAGCCGUGAUAGCCUAGCAUAAGUUGCUUGCUUAUUUAUUUCCUUGUUGUCUUGUUUAUUUGUUUGCUUGUAGUCAGCGCAGUUCUUUUUCUGUGGUUUGCUAGUGGCUGCAAUAACCUAUUUUUUAAAACUAGGCCACAAUAACCAUGGGCUAAUAUUUACUGUAGUGACACUAGGCCUCCUACGGGCCGUAGAAAUAGUGGGCCUUUUACGGGCCGUAGAAACAGUAGGCCUUCUACGGGUCGUAGAAACAAUGGGCCUUCUAUGGGCCGUAUCAUCAAUGGGCCUUAUACGGGCCGUAUGAUCGAUUGGCCAAACAUGGGCCAAUAACAGGCCGCAUUAUGGCCGUAAAUGGGCUAGAGUUGGAAUCAUCCGUUCAUGGGCCGACCAUAACAGGCCAUCGUUAAUAGGCCAUAUUUGAUGACGCUAUGAAAAUGACCCAACGUAUUAACGGACCACAAAUGGGCCGACUGUAACCACGGGCUGAAUUUGGCCCACAAGCAAAAAGUGACAGUAACAGCCGUAAGUAAACGAAUGCUGGAAAUGGGCCCAAGAAUAAAUGGGCUCUUAGAAGGCCAAAAGAUAACAUGGGCUGGAAACGGCCCAACGGAAUAACAAGCCGUUAAUGGGUAUAAAGUGAUACACUGUUCAUUACGGACCAGUUUCACCACGGGCCGUUAAUGGGUGUAAAGUGAUACACUGUUCAUUACGGGCCAGUUUCACCACAGGCCGUUAAUGGGCCAAUAUUUACAAAGGGCCUCAUAUGGGCCGAAAGACGUCAUGGGCCAUACAUGGGCCAGAAGUGAAAACAGGCUGGAAUCGUAUUGGAUGGCCCAGAUGACGCUACUGGGCCUAAUUCGGAUAGGGCGUAACAGGCCUUGGGUUAGCGGGCUGUAAAUGGGCUAUAUGCGAACAUGUUGUUAACAGGCUUUCCAUGGGCCGGCCCGCCACCUUUUGACCAAGUCAAACGGGCCAUCCUUUUCACAGGAAUGGGCCACUGUUGGGCCAUGCCACAUGUCGACGUAUCAUAGGCGCCUUCUGUCCAAUGAGUGGACGACAUCUAUCCCAACGAUGAGUCGACACGUGUUUCCUCCAGCCAAUGAUGAUUUUACACGUGGAAAAUCCCCAUUGGUCGGGGCUGUUAACGUGUUAUCGGAUCCAAAACCCGAUCUGAUAGCUUAACGGCGUUCCGUUACGGUGGAUGCCACGUGUCGGUCACCCUUGAUGAAAGCACUUCUGUGACGCGCGAUUUAUCGUCAUGGAAGUGGACACUUCCAUGAUGAUAAUUUUGGUAAUGUCAUGGAACACUUCUAUGACAGCACAUGUAUGACUAUCUUGAUUCUGUCAUAAAUUUGUCAUGGAUGUACAUGCAUGACAGAAAAUGCGACCUACUGUGACAAACACGUAUCAUCACGGAAGUGUAUUUUUUUUGUAGUGGUCUUUCUAGUUUCAUACUUGUUUUAGGUAAAGCGAACGUUAAGCGUGCGUAGAGUUGUAUCGGUGGUCGAUAGAACUUGAGGGAAUAUUUGUUCUACCUUUAGCUCCUCGUUGGGUUCGACACUCUUACUUAUCGAAAGAGGCUACAAUUGAUCCCCUAUACUUGUGGGUUAUCAAGGAGGCAUAUGAUCCGCUUACCUCUGGGUUACGAGCCUACACGUUUGUUCAACACGCCAGGAGCAUGCCCGAGUACGCCAGGAGCACUGGUUAUACCCAAUUGACCACGGAUGCACCUGGGAGUAGGGUGGAAGCUCAGCACCAUCGGCCAGAGCCAGUUUAGAGGGAUAGCCGGCCUCAGACCCUCAUCUUGUCCAGGCACCACUGCAGCAUUUUCUGACACCACCGCUCACUUCUCCAACCCAGUGGACAAUAUGGUAGCAGCGGCAACCCGCCUUACUGCACUUCCUAUCACCCGUGAGUCACCGGGCGCGGUGAAAACUUGGAACACGAUCAAACUUUUGCAAACAGCGAUUGCUUAGUAGGCCAAUUAUUCUUAUAGUCGGCAUCGUGUGCAUUCCACCCCGCUACCGAGCCGCAACUACAGCAGGCAUGCAGAGUCGCGGACUGUUUCCAGUAGUGAGCGACACCAUAACCGCCCUAGGAUAACCCGCCCCGCAAUACACGUGGUGAUGCUCAAACAAUCGUGGACGAGGCAAGGCCCUUCGCGAGGCGGAGGCAGUAAACCAGGGGGCUUGUCAGCACCGCCAAUAGUUCCUUUAACUUUGGUGGGAUCCGAGUCAAGCACUAGAACCAUUGGAGUGCUGUUCCUAGUGCCGGCUUUACGUAAUGAGCGCAUGCCCAAGUAUUUUAAGGGUCCUCGCAAAGUACCCAACUAUACGGCAAAUCUUGAGUCGGCGACCUGGAUCAAGAGCUAUGAGCUGGCCAUGUAUAUGUUGGAUGUGAGAGAUGGGGUAUGUGCCAAGUAUUUCACCAUGAUGUUGGAGGGGCCGGCACAUACAUGGUUGAAGAACCUGCCCUCAACUCUAUGAACACCUGGGCGGAGUUGAAGGAGCGUUUUAUAAAGAAUCUUGAAGGAAUUUGCAAGCAGCCAAUGACAAUUGUGGACCUAGAACACAGUGUGCAGCGUGAGGAUGAGUCGGCCCACCAUUGUGCUCCCCGGGUCGCUACCAUUAUCCACUCAUCAGAUAACAUUGGGGUGGCUCAAGCCGUGUUUAUCCCAGAGAAAAGCUAUCACUUUCUGCCUCUUAAGCAGAAGCUAGGGCGGCUUAAGCGCAAGUGCCAGGAUAUGGGCAAUCUCAUGGAUGCACUUACCAAAUAUGCAGACUCUGACGGUACAAAGGACCCUAACUCUGAUGAGGAUAAAUCCGGCAAAGGCAAGAGAAACAGUGGUGGUAAGGUCAAUAACAGAAUGGCUCGGUGCAUAAUGGUAAUAACCAUGGUAAUGGUGGAAAACAUAAGUACCCCGAUGGUGAGUCAGAUUUGGUGGCUAACACCAACACAGGGUAUAAGAAUCAAUGUCGCAAUGACAAGCAUCCGUAUGCUGUGCAAAAACCCAAGAAUUAUGAGGAAGCUCUUAGUGCGCCGUGUCCAAAGCACAAUUAUCCUAACAAGCCAUCUUCUCAUUCUUGGAAGGAUUGUUAUAUCACGUGGGAGUUCAGGAAUCGGUCAUUUCAAUAGCAUCAUGUCAAUGAUAAUGGGUCACGAGGCCGGUCAGGCUCAGGAGGUUUCCAGGGAGCUGGCUUUGGCGGUGACGGUUCAAGUUCUGGCUAUCAGGGUCAAGGGAACCAUGGUGGUCAUAAUGAGUACUCUAGUCAAGGUAAUCAAUGUCAGAAUAACCAAUCGCGAUAUCAGAGUAAUCCUAAGCAGCUCAAUAGUGGUCAGUACCAUGUCUUCACUACAAGUACGUGCAAGCGUGACCAGAAAGUCCAUAAGCAGGCAAUCAAUGUGGUUGAGACGGUGGUGCUGCAGUACUUAAAGUGGUCUGAAUACACGAUAACUUGGAGCCGGACGGAUCACCCGCCCCGUGUUGACAAUCCGGGUCAUUUAGCCCUGGUAGUAGCCCCUCAGGUGGGUGGUUACAGAUUUACUAAAGUACUUAUGGAUGGUGGCAGCAGCAUCAACAUAUUGUACUAUGACACUUUCCGACGGAUGAAUUUGACAGAGAAGGAUCUUAAGCCAUCUUCAACUAUUUUUCACGGAGUUUUUCUGGGGAAAUUGGCUUAGCCUAUGGGGAUGAGUGCUCUGGAGGUGGCUUUUGGUGAUGAGUAUAACUACAUAGUAGAGACAUUAUGGUUUGAGGUGGUCAAGAUCAAGAGUACACAUCAUGCACUAUUUGGACGGCCGACCUAUGCAAAAUUCAUGGCCCGUCCUUGUUAUAUAUAUUUGCAGCUUAAGAUGCCAAGGCAAAAUGGAGCAAUUAUGGCUCAUGGGGUUUGUAAGAUAGCCUUGGAGUGUGAAGAAGGAGAUGUCGCUUAUGUAAAGAUGGCUUGUGCUGCCGAGGAGCUCAAAUUUUACAAGGAUAAUUGAUACGUCUCUAAUGUAUCUAUAAUUUUUGAUUGUUCCAUGCUGUUAUAUUGUCAUUCUUGGAUGUUUUAUAUUUAUUUUAUAGCAACUUUAUAUCAUUUUUUGGGACUAACCUAUUGACAUAGCGCUCUGUUUUUUGCUUGUUUUUUUACUUUGCGGAAUAUCAGUACCAAACGAAGUCCAUAUGCCACAAAACUUUUUAGAGAUUUUUUCUGCCCAGAAGACAACUUGGAAGACAAGGAAGAGCACCAAGUGUCGGUGUCAAAACUGGCAGAUCUUGGGUAGGGGGGCCCAAGCUGUAUGUCUGAGAUCGAUGAUAACUAAGAACAAAGGACACAAUAUUUACCCAGGUUCAGGCCCUCUUAAGGGAGGUAAAACCCAACUCCUGCUUGAUUAUAUUCAAGGGGUAUAGGGGUUACAAGAGUUGAUCUACUAUGAAAUCAUAUUGUCUAACCCUAGAUUAUCUAGCCUAGCAAUGUUGUGAUCCUGCCUCCAAUCUACCUUCCGGUUUAUAUAGACAUCGGAGGGGCUUAGGGUUGUACAAAGUCGGUUUUAUAGAAAGGAAUAACAUAUCCGGACACCUAUACUUGCCAUCCACGCAUACGGGAGUCCCUACCGGACACGAGAGGUGAUCUUCUGUCUUCUAUCUUGACGGCCCAUCAGUCUGGCCCAUAUCCAAUAGACCGGACGCCCCAGGACCCCCUACUCCAGGACUCCCAUAGUAGCCCCUAAACUAGUCUUCAAUGAUGAUAUGUUUGGUCGUGUAGAUUGUCUUCGGCAUUGCAAGGCGGGUUCCAUGAAUAAUACACAUCGGCUUUCCUUCGUAAAAGAAUUGCAUCCGGCUUUUCAUAAUGAACACAAUCCUUAGCCGCGAAGGCAGGAUAUAUAAAAAAUGAGAACAGUGUCUUUUACUGACAACUUUUUCGGUGAAGCGUCAUACUUGACCCUUCAAUGUUUUGAAUCGUUUUUUGCAUCCCGUGUUCCGUGUUUCGAGGCCACGUCCCAUUAGGCUGUCCUGUCAAAACAUAGAUCGUGCCCACUUAAUAUGGGAUCGCUCAUCAAUAGAAUUUGGGCAAUCCAACCGUUUACAGUGCACACUCUUAUCGGGAAUAGGCGAGAUUCAAGGCAUGAGUGGGGUCGGUUGGUAUUUCUACCGCAUGUAAGAGGGAAAUGGAUCUUUACUUUCUCCCCCACGCCUUCACAUCUCCUCAACCUUCCAAUUUCCUAAGCUCCCAGCGCCCGAAAAGUUUCCUUCUUUCUCACCACCACCACACCUCCUCCGAUGAUGGCCCGAUCCGGUUCCAAAGGCAAGUGGGAGGCCUCCUCCGCCACGGAGAAGGAGAUAAAAAAUCUCCAGAGUGCGAGAUACCUCGCCGCCAACAUCACGCACAUGCUUUCCCUCGAGGGUCAAGUCAUUCCCACUCCAGAGCCCGGCAAACGGGUCAUCUUCCUUCCCCACUUCCUUAGAGGGCUAGGUUUUCCACUCCACCCAUUCGUCCGUGGACUCAUGUACUACUACGGGCCAUAUUUCCACGAUCUAGCCCCGAACUCUUUCCUCCACAUCUUGGCAUUCAUCGUCAUGUGUGAGGCUCUCCUCCGCAUCCACCCACACUUCGUCUUGUGGAUCAAGGUCUUCAACGUGAAGCCGAAGGUGGUCGACGGGCAGCACACGGACUACGGCGGAGCUAUGAUCAGCAAGAUGCCCAACACCACGUGGCCCAAAGGGGCCUUCGUGGAGACCAUGAAGAUCUGGCAAUAGGAGUGGUUCUAUAUCACUGAGCCGCGCCGCACUAAGUGGGCGGCGAUUCUGGAGUUCAGAUCCGGACCACUCAUGAGGCCCGUCUCCUAGAACACGAAGGGCCAUGACUGGGGGUCUUAGACGGAGGUGCAGACGCUACAAAUGCGCAUCAUCAACAUGCUAAGAAAUAGCGUUGGUUUAACCAACAUGGUUCAGAUUAUGCUCUUCCACUGCAUUCUCCCCUGCCAGCACCGAGCUUCCCCCAUGUGGGAGUUCGAUCCAGAGCACCACGGACUCUGCAACACUUCCUCGGCACUACGCACUAAGGAAUGUGGAAGCUGCUCUUCAAGGCGCAGAAGAGCUGGCCCAUGGAGACCGAAGACAUCAGCCUCAACGCCAAGAAUCCGGCCACUCUAGUAAGUAUUCGAUAUUUCCAAAGACAUACCUAGUUCAUAUAUAUAUAUAUAUAUAUUCGAUCUACACCGAAAUCAUCAGCCCAUCUUUUUUUAACAGGGCUGGACCAAGAAGUCGGAGCGGAUUAAGAGUCCGGAUCCGUUGCCUGAAGACCCAAUCACUCCUGAGUUGGAGGAUAUGCUGGUCCUGGCGCCUUAUUAGGCGCCGGAUAAGAAGGUUAAGAAGAAGGGCAAGGGGCCCAAGGACGGGCCCCGCUGCAAAGGCCCUCCGGAGGCAGUGUCCAGAGAGACCGAGGCCGUCUCCUCUCACGAGGAAGAUGAGGACGAAGAGGAGGAGGAAGAGGAGGAGGAGGAGGUGGAGAGCGACUCCCCUCUCAAGACGAGGAGGGGAAAGAGGACGACCUCUGAAAACCUGGAGGGGGCGACGCCGAAGAAGGGGAGAGUGCUCCUCUCGGAUAGUUCUAACCCAGAGUCCGAGCACAACCCGAAGAGGAUCCAGAGGGAGAAGCCCCUGGCCGAAAUGUAAGUAUUAAAAUCUUACUCAUUCAAUUGUCGCUUAAUCUGCCUCUGUCAUAUCAAAACUCUUAUUUGCUUUUCAGCUCUCCGCGUGAGAUUCUGAUUCCCUUCUCUUCGGAGGGGAACUCUCAAGCACCUGGAGAGGCGGAGAGUGAUAGACCCUCGUGCACCUUCUCCCCCCUGCCACGGAGCACACUGAGGUGUCGUCCCAAAGGGCAUCUCCGGGCAGAGGAGGAGCGGACGAGACCGUCCAGAAGGCGCCCGAGGACAACACCUCAGACGCUGUACAGCAGGGCACGGCGGCCCCUAAGACCAUCGAGGGUGGGGGCCUCAACAAUCCGAGCCCUCGCCGAACACCAUCCCGGAAACAAGUACGGCUACGGGUUCGGAUGGAUGACCCACAAGUAUAGGGGAUCUAUCGUAGUCCUUUUGAUAAAUAAGAGUGUCGAACCCAACGAGGAGCAGAAGGAAAUGACAAGCGGUUUUCAGUAAGGUAUUCUCUGCAAGCACUGAAAUUGUAGGUAACAGAUAGUUUUGUGAUAAGAUAAUUUGUAACGAGUAACAAGCAAUGAAAGUAAAUAAAGUGCAGCAAGGUGGCCCAAUCCUUUUUGUAGCAAAGGACAAGCCUGGACAAUUUCUUAUAAUGAGAAAAGCGCUCCCGAGGACACAUGGGAAUUAUUGUCAAGCUAGUUUCACCACGAUCAUAUGAUUCAUGUUCGGUACUUUGAUAAUUUGAUAUGUGGGUGGACCGGUGCUUGGGUACUGCCCAUACUUGGACAAGCAUCCCACUUAUGAUUAACCCCUAUUGCAAGCAUCCGCAACUACAAAAGAAGUAUUAAGGUAAAUCAAAUCAUAGCAUGAAACAUAUGGAUCCAAUUCAGCCCCUUACGAAGCAACACAUAAAGUAGGGUUUAAGCUUCUGUCACUCUAGCAACCCAUCAUCUACUUAUUACUUCCCAAUGCCUUCCUCUAGGCCCAAAUAAUGGUGAAGUGUCAUGUAGUCGACGUUCACAUAACACCACUAGAGGAGAGACAACAUACAUCUCAUCAAAAUAUCGAAUGAAUACCAAAUUCACAUGACUACUAAUAGCAAGACUUCACCCAUGUCCUCAGGAACAAACGGAACUACUCACAAAGCAUAUUCAUGUUCAUAAUCAGAGGAGUAUUAAUAUGCAUAAAGGAUCUAAACAUAUGAUCUUCCACCAAGUAAACCAAUUAGCAUCAACUACAAGGAGUAAUCAACACUACUAGCAACCCACAUGUACCAAUUUGUGGUUUUGAUACAAGAUUGGAUACAAGAGAUGAACUAGGGUUUGGAGAGGAGAUGGUGCUGGUGAAGAUGUUGAUGAAGAUUGACCCGCUCCCGAUGAGAGGAUCGUUGGUGAUGAUGAUGGUGAUGAAUUCCCCCUCCCGGAGGGAAGUUUCCCCGGCAGAGCAGCUCUGCCGGAGCCCUAGAUUGGUUCAGCCAAGGUUCCGCCUCGUGGCGGAGGAGUUUCGUCUCGUGAGCUUGCCUUCGAUUUUUUCCAGGAUAAAAGACCUCAUAUAGCAGAAGAUGGGCACCGGAGGACCACCAGGGGGCCCAGGAGACAGGGGGCGCGCCCAGUAGGGGGGGGGGGGGCGCCCCCACCCUCCUGGCCAGGGUGUGGAUCCCCUCCAGUACUUUCCUUGCCCAAUAAUUCUUACUAAAUCCAAAAAUGACUUUCGUGGAGUUGUAGGACUUUUGGAGCUGUGCAGAAUAGGUUUCGAUAUUUGCACCUUUUCCAGCCAGAAUCCCCGCUGCCGGCAUUCUCCCUCUUCAUGAUAAACCUUGUAAAAUAAGAGAGAAUAGCCAUAAGUAUUGUGAUAUAACGUGUAAUAAUAGCCCAUAAUGCAAUAAAUAUUGAUAUAAAAGCAUGAUGCUAAAUGGACGUAUCAUGGACCAACACCCUCCCUCAAAGGACGGGGGAGGAGCUGAAGCUCCAUCAGCGGCCGCUGUCAAUCUAGAGGCCGCUGAUGCUCUGCAGGAAGCGCUGCAAUGCGCUUUCAUUGUAGAGGAACACCACGCCCUGAUGGGUGCGGUUAUGGAGAAAGUUCGUUCCGCGAAGAGCGGACUGACCGAAUCCUUCAACAGCCUACUGCCGGGCUUUGAGGUAUGCAAUGUAAUAUUCUUUACAAGUUCUUUUUUGUAUAUAUAUAUGUGUGAGGCAGAACCCAUGUAUAGACAGUAGCCCCUGAGACUCUGUUCACAUUAGAACAAUCCGAAUGAAGGAUCAACACAAGUAUAUAACGCGUUGUAUAUGUUGUUGGACAGGCGUCUAUGCUGGCGGCUACUGCCCAGGCCACAGAAAUUGCCGACCUCAAUUGGAAGCUUCGGAUAUCCGAUGAGGAACUCGACCACAUCAACAAGCGGUUUAAUGAAACCCAAGGUAUGCGGCACUACGACAUUCCCGAAACUUAUAUGUGUAUUAGUCUUUUAAACUGACUAAAAAUGUUAUAAAAUACUCACAGUUGGCACAGCCGAGGUCGAGUCCCUUAGGAACGCCCUCGCCAAACCCAAGAAGGAGGCAUAGGUGAGCAAGACGGCCACGGAAAAGGCGGCCAAAGAUUUGGAGGUGGAGCAAACCACCCGCCGCAGACAUGAGGCUUGGGUGGGGGAGGUUGAACAGGAGCUCAAGGACGCCAUCGCCAAGUGUGAGUCCUUGGAGCAAAAGAGUUCAGAAUAGGCCUCCGAGCUCACCAAAGCUCUGGAGAGCAUGAAGGAAGCCUGGGUUGAUGCACAGGGCGCUCGACAGGAGAUCCAAUAGGCGAGGCAGAUUGCGGCUGGUAAGGCCUUUAUCAUGCAGAGUAGAUUUACUAGUAAGAGAUAUAUUUUAUUGACCCAAGUUUGGAUUUCUCCAAGCGCCUUUGCAGAUCUGCCGAGGAGUAUUGCGAAUGCCGCCGCAUUCUUCCAAGCCGAAGAGGGGAUCUCGACAAAGUUGUUCUGGUCACAGUAUCUUGCACCAGAACUUCCAGUGCCCCUUAGUGACCAGCUGAAGCAGUUGUACGAGCUGCACAGGGUGGUCAGACUGGCCAUGAAGGAUGUAAUAGUCCGCCUAUGGCCGACCGAGUCCAUACCCAGCAGCCACUUCAAAGUCAUGAAGCGGUUGGUGGAUGCGCUUCCUUGGAUCGAGACCCUCAAGCGGUCGUCCUGCAUAUAAGGUGCCUUGACGGCCUUCACCCACGUCAAGAUUCAGUGGGCGAAAGAUGAAGGCCACUGAGAUUGCCACCGCAGGGCCACCUGAAGGCAAGGAUCACUGGCGGCCGGAGAGGUACUUCGAUGAGGUCCUCGAGGGAGCCUGCAUUGUAGAGGGCCAGUUCUCAAAGGACAUCAUAUUUAAAUAGUUGAGUCCGUUUUGUAAGAGUCAUAUAAUGAACUCGUGAUGUAUAAUAUAUAUAUGCUUGCGCUUUAUAAUUAGUUUAUCCUGCUUUUUGGCCGUUUAUAAAUCUGAAAGUUUACCAGUCGUCGGCUUCUGCCCCACGUAAAUAUUACAGGGGUGUUUGGGAACACAUGACCGCACUUUAUCCAACGUCUUGGUCCGAUGUAGGAGGCGUCUCCAGGUCCGAUGCAGGGGAACCUCCCCCAAGCUUAGACCUUGCUUGUCCUCAAGCGGAAGCCGAAAUCGAAAAAUCUGUCCACAUGUUUAGAGAUAGAGGUGUCGAUAAAAAUAAAAUACGGACAUGAGGGCAUCAUGAUCAUUCUUAUAACAGCAACAUAUAUAGAUUUUGUCAUAUGAUUUCUUAUGCUCAAGUAACAAUCUAUUCACAAUGUCAAGUAUGGAACAUAAACUUCAUUGGAAACUAACAAACUAUAAUCUUAGUCAUUGAAGCAAUUGCAAUUUAUCAUAACAUCAGAAAGAGUCAAGAAUAGAGCUGUUCAGCAAGUCCACAUAGUCAACUAUCAUAUAGUCUUCUACAAUUGCUAACACUCACGCAAUACUUAUGGUUAUGGAGUUUUAAUCAGACACUGAGAAAGAUAGGGGCUUAUAAUGUUGCCUCCCAACGUGUUCACCUUUAGGUGAUGUCAACAAUAAUAAUUCAUGCUAACGAACAUCCAACUGGAUAUAUGUAUCAGGAUCUUUCCAACACGAGGUGCUUGCCAAAGGAUAAAAUGAAAAAGGGAAAGGUGAAGAUCACCUUGACUCUUGCAUAAAGUAAAAGACAUAAAGUAGAAGAUAGGCCCUUCGCAGAGGGAAGUAGAGGUUGUCAUGCGCUUUUAGGGUUGGAUACACAAAAUCUUAGUGCGAAAGAACGUCACUUUAUAUUGCCACUUGUAUAUGCACUACUAGGGAAAAGCUUAUAGAAGACGCUUACUAGUAGCGUGCUAUAUUUUCCCGCGCUACUGCUACUUACUAGUAGCGUGCCAUAUUGAACGCGCUACUACUAAUAUUUACUGGUAGCGCGUGGCCAGAAAAACAUGCUACUAGUAAAUAUCUUCAACCGUGCCCCGCGAACAUAUCAUAGUAGUAGCGCGGAUUAUAAAACCGGCGCUACUACUAUGUGAAUAGCUGUACCGUACGUGAGGCUCUCACGUUACUAGUAUACUCCCACCCCCACCAACCGUCCCACUCCACCGUCCACCCGCCCACAUUUAUCUCAAAAAAAAUCCACCCAAGCCCCGGACUCCUUCCACGUUUAUCCCCUCCACCGCCGGCCUUCUUCCACCUCCUCUCCUCUCCCAAUCCAGAGUGUGUGCAGCCACGUGCCUCCUCGCGACCGCUGCCACCGCCACCGCCACCGCCACCUCCUCGUGACCGCUGCCACCGCCAUCGCCAGGAGGCUAGCCAGGCCUCCUCGCGACCGCUGCCACCGCCACCGCCACCGCCACCCUCGCCCCUCCCCUCACCAGAAGACGACUAGAAGAGAAUAGGUCAGGCGGUGGCUCCCAGUCCCAGAUCCACCAUGUCCAUGGCCGAGGGCUUGGACCUGGAGCUCCACAUCCAUGGCCGAGGGCUAGGACCUGGAGCUCCAUCUCCAUGGCAUCGGCUGCAUCUCUCCAAUCGCGAGCUCGUGCGCCUGGACAGGACCUCCGUCCGUCCACUCCGCUCGACCGACGAUGCCAUGGCCACCAAGGUACUCUCUCGAUCUGCUUCCCUUUCCCUUUCCUUUUUCCUUCCCUUCCCUCCCUCAUGUGCAGCCUGCUUUUGUUUCCUUGUAGUGCACAGACGCAGGUGCACACACACAGCAGCAUUGCUGACUUGUUGCAUGAGGCAGCCGGCAAGGUGAGGUGAGGCAGGAGAGGACUACCCCAAGCGCCUACAAGCUCCACCGGUACCCACCUUCUUCUGAUCCAUAAUCUAGUUUCUCUUCCUCUCUUGCAAAUAAAGGAUAAAUUUGAUAUUGUACCCGUCACUGUCGAUCUGAAAGUCCGCUUCUCCAAUUCUUCUUAUUUAAAUGAGGCCAACUUGUUCAAAGUAGAGUUGAGUUGAAUGAAUCAUUAGGUUCGCUGGGAUUCCACCUAUUUGUGGUGUCCUUCCUCUAACACUAAUUCGCUGGGAUUAAGAUAAAUUAAUUAGGCACCUUCAGAAAUUCUAACAGUUCAUCCCAGACUAAGCAAACUAUACUUGUUAGUGUUAGUUUUCUCAGAGAAUUUAGCGUUAGUUGAUCACCAUUUUGAUCCUUUUUAACUAUAUAUAGUUAUGCCACUGGAAUAAAAUGAAGUUUAUGGGCAUAAUAAAAUGAAGUUUAUGGGCAUAAUAAAAUGAGUAGUCACUCUAUGGAGGCUAGUUGUUUUGAACAUGACUAAUUUUUUAGUUUAGGCAUCCAUGUGUCAAAAUCACUAGUUUGGGGACCUGAGAUGCAUUUCCUGUUUUAGGAAGAAAUGCAUUAAUGCCCUUCAUGUAAAUAUGAAGUCAUAGAUGCUAAAUUUGUGUGGAUUUAGUUCAUUGCGAACCAUUUUUUUUAGAUUUCAGAUGGGUCCCUACCGAGGAAUGUUGUUUAGCAAUAUUUUUACAAUGUUUCAGGCUUUGUUUUGUGGUAUACAAUGAUGUUUCUUUGUUCUAAUAGGAGUUUUGCUAUAAGAAAUGAGGGAAGAGAGUAUGUUCUAAGGCGUAUACUUAGACGUGUUGUUCACUUUGGUCAUCAAAAAUUGAUGGCAAAGCAAGGAUUUUUUUAGCUCAUAAGAACUGUAACCUGCAUCUGUUGUAUUCUGUACUUCUUCGUUAAUGGUAUACUUUGCAUAGCCUUUUGUUUAUUCGGGAUGCUAAACAUGCAAUGUAAGGCUUAUGAGGAUGACUGUAGAGAUGUCAUAUGACAACAAGAAAAUAAACUAUGUCACACAUGAUUCUAGCUAAUUUAAACUAUGUUCUUUAAGCAGGUAUUUGAUAUGCCAUUAUUUUGUAUCUUUCUUGUACAGCCUUGUAGAUAUUUUUGUCCGAGUGAUGGGUGAUGUGUUUCCUCAGCUGAAGGACAAUGAAAAGAAGAUUAAAGCUAUUAUUAAAGAAGAAGAGGCAAGCUUUGAGAACACUCUAACGAAGGUAAUAUUGGUUGCCAGGAGUAUUUGCAUAUCAGUGACAUCAAUUUGGCCCAAGUGAUGUUUGUUGAAGUAAUUUCAUUGCAAUCAAAUUCGAGUGUUUGCACACUCUUAGGCAGUGUUUUAUUCUUGUAAACAUGUGUUAGUCUCAAAGUAAUUUAGCUAGUUUGUUAUCAGAUAACUUAAAAUGUUUUAUCCUUGUAAACAUGUGUUAGUCUCAAAGUAAUCUAGCUAGUUUGUUAUCAGAUACCCUAAAUUUUUGUUGUUGCCAGAGGCUCUGGGCCAGUUCGUACCUUGUAUCUUUUGUACUGCUGUUUUGCUCGUGAGAUACUGCUAAACGCUUUAUAUAUAUAAUAUAUUAACAUGUUGUGUUGAGUAACCAGGUAGUGUCUUGUUUUGAGGCAACGCAUUAAGGAACAUAUCCAGUGUAUUGUUUCAAUCCUGGUUUACAUCAGCUUAGUUCAAUCACAAUAAUUAGCAUACACGAUAAAGUGUCUCACCUUUUCUUUGAAAUGACCAUUAGUAAUCCAAUUUAUUUGGUUUCCACAUGGGCAUGAUUCUGUUUAUCAUGCUUAUACUUUAAGGGUAGUUCCUACUAGGUGCUUUGCAUUUUGUUUCAUACAUAGAAACAGAGACUAAGAAAUCUCACAGUUGAAGUUUAGUUGACCGUUCUUUUCUUAGAACCAUCAUAAUACGUACUGUCCUUUCUUGUGGCUGUUCAGAUGGUUAACUGAUUGUGCUAUUGGUGUAAUUUUCAGGGAUAAGAGAGAUUUAGGAAAGCUGCAGAUGCUGUCAAGGAGAAUGGCAGGGCAAUACUUAGUGGCCAGGCAAUAUUUGCACUACAUUAUUAUAGUCAAUCAUUUGUUAGCUGCAAGUAAAUAUAUGACCUUUGCAUUGUUGAAUUACAGGACACCUACAAGAAUGUGGUUCAGAAACAUAAUAAGUUAAAGAAGGAGGUCGGUCAUUGAAGGUACACUCAUGUUGCUAACUAAAUUUUCACACCACUAUUGCAUUGUGAUAUCUAUCUAACUAGGCAAUGAGAGUUCUUAAGAAUGUCUUGAUUUAGCCAACAUGUUCUCUGCUUAUUCUGCUCUGCAGUACAUUCUGACACUAGUAACUAAGAUGAGCUAGCUGGGUUCUUUUUCAGGAUAAGUAUGGUAAACAGAAGUGUCACAACUCAAGGGCGGAGGCCGACAUUGAUCGGGGCCUGCUUGAGCUGAGGGCUAGGGCGAGCGACAUGACGGCGUCCCAACUCAAGGCGGCGGCUGCCAUCGGUCAAGUGCGGCUCGUCGAGGCUGCUCGCUGUGUUUCGUCGCAGCUGCAGGCCGCGAGAUCAGGCCGGGAAGGCACCAGACAUCGACGAGUGAGCCAAUUUUUGGAUCGGACCAUAACAACGUAUCUCAGUCUCCACGUCUAGAAGUAGUGGUGAAGUUUUGAAUUUGCAUGGCAAGAAUCACUUACGUAGGUAGCUGUAGGUAGCUGACACACACAACACUGUGUUUACAAUCUUACUUAUGUAAAAGACAUGAAUUAUACACGAGUUGCCAUUACAAUGAGGAACUGUGAUAGUAGAUACAUCAAUUGUGUGAUAGAAUGGAAUUGAUUGAUUUUAUUUUUUUAAUUUCUAAUAAGUUAGUAGUAGCGUGGGAACAAACCACUCGCUACUAGUAUUUAGGAUACUAGUAGCGUUGGGACUAUAGACGCGCUACUACUAUUUCAUUAGUAGUAGCGCGGUUCACAAUAGCAGUAGCGCGCAUUGAACCCUCGCUGCUACUAACAAAGUUAGUAGUAGCGAGGGUUCGAUCCGCGCUACUGCUAACUUUUAGCUGUAGCGCGAUACUAGUAGCGCGAGUACCCACGCUACUAGUAGCCAUUUUACCCGCGCUGCUAGUAGCCUUUUCCCUAGUAGUGAUGGACCUUUAUUAUGCAGUUCGUCGCUUUUAUUGCUUCCAUAACAAGCUCAUAUAAAGCUUAUUUUCUACGCACUAACAAGUCAUGCAUAUUUAGAGAGCAAUUUUUAUUGCUUGCACCGAUGACAACUUACUUGAAGGAUCUUACUCAAUCCAUAGGUAGAUAUGGUGGACUCUCAGGGCUAAACUGGGUUUAAGGAUAUUUGGAAGCACAAGUAGUAUCUCUACUUGGUGCUAGGAAUUUUUGUCUAGCAUGAGGGGUAAAGGCAAGCUCAACAUGUUUGAAUGAUCCAUGACAAUAUACUUUAACUGAGAUGCGAGAAAACAUAAACCAUUACGUUGUCUUCCUUGUCCAACAUCAACUCUUUAGCAUGUCAUACUUUAAUGUGUGCUCACAAUUACAAAAGAUGUCCAAGAUAGUAUAUUUAUAUGUGAAAACCUCUCUUUCUUUAUUACUUCCUAUUAGUUGCAACGAUGACCAAAACUAUAUUUGUCAACUCCCAACAACUUUUAAGCUACUUUCUAUAUGUGAAGUCAUUACUAUCCAUAAGAUCAAUUGAACUCUUUUAUUUCUUUUUAUUCUUUCUAUUUUUUUCUCAAGAUCAUAGAAAGAUAGCAAAGCCCUUUGACUCAACACUAAUCUUUAUUAUAGAUAACUCACGGACUUGAUUACAUAGAGAUCACAAAGCAAAACUCAAAACUAAUUCAUACCAAGACUUCAAUCUACUGGAUCAAGAUAUUACUAAAAGGAUCGAACUAAGUAAAACGGUAAAUAUAGGAGUGUGAUGGUGAUACGAUACCCGGGAACCUCCCCCAAGCUUGGCAGUUGCCAAGGGGAGUGCCCACACUACUAGGAAAAGGGCUAUAGAUAGGACUGAUUCUAAUGGCGCACCAGGUAAGUAGUGCGCCACUACUAUAUACUAAUGGCGCACCGAUUACUCGUGCGCCAUUAGUGUGGAAGACAAUAAUGGCGCACCGUGCUCAUGGUGCGCCACUACUAUUGAUUUUUUCCCCAUUUUUCCAUACAAACUAAUGGCGCAGGAAUGGAAAAGUGCGCCAUUACUAGUUAGAACUUGUAAUGGCGCACGACCAUGACAGUGCGCCAUUAGUAUAUAAUUUUUUUUUACUUUUUUGCAAACCUACUAAUGGCGCACUAUGCCAAAGCCCAGUCGUGCUUAUACCCGAAGCCAAAUCCAAGACCGCGGGCGCAAACGUCACCGCAAAAAAUGAGCCAUGGGUACUGGCUUCCCAAGUGGACCAAUGCUUCUUCAUUACCGACCCGCCAAAGCCCAGUCGUGUUGUCGUGAGGAGAGGUAAAAGGAAGAUCAUCGGAAUGGAUGGAGUAGCCAAUGAGCAAGAUUUCGACAAGUACGGCGACCCGAAGAUCGAACAUGACGACGAUGAUGAAGUAGCAGCACACACCACAAGAAGAAGCAGGACCACCCUACCUAAAGGACGUCCGUUCCACAGAAGAACCCCAUUUGCGAAAAAGAAGGGCAAGAAGAUUGUGAACAGAUAGCUAGCUAAGAUCGAUUGUAUUUAAAUCAUAGUCUUCAUUUCUCGAUUGUAUGUCAUGGGCACUUUUUGAUAUCAUGAAUAUUUUUAAAUUUCAUGGGCACUUUUUGAAUUCAUGAGGACACUUGAUCUCGAUCCCCCUCCAUCUCGAUCUCGAUUCCCCCUCCAUCUCGAUCUCGAUCCCCGCACCCUCCCCCGCUCCACCGCCGCCGCCGAUGAUAUUUUCAAGUAAGAAAUUUGAACAUAUUUUUUAAAAAAUUAUUACUGUUUUUAUAAAAAAAUAUUACUGUUAUGAUAUAAACAAGUUUGAACAUAUUUAAACACAAAUAAAUAUAAAAAACAACAUUUAAAAUGCAUAAAAAAAUAUUGGGGAGCCUGGGAAUCAAACCCAGGACCUCCUGGUGUGUGUGCUGCGUGCUGACCAGUCGGGCUAGUGGGUGGGUUCUGUUGUAGAUAGGGUUAGGUUGUAGGUAUGGUUAGUGGGCUAGAUUAAAACAAAAUUCUAAUGGCGCACCAAGGGGACGGUGCGCCAUUAGAACCCUCCCCCUAGCUAUCCUCCCUCGCUCUCGCCAGAUCCCCUUCCACUCUCUCUCCCUCGCCACCACAUCCACCCGCGCGCUGCCCCGACCCACGCCGCCGCCGCCCCCGCGCCUCCGUCUCCGUCGCUGCCCCCAGUCAGCCCCUGCCCUGCCCCCCAUCGCCAUCCGCUCCCAAUCCACCCCCUCCCUCGCCUUCACCGCACCCACCCACCCCCUCCCCCGCCUUCCCAGCCCUCGAGCUCCACCGUGCGAGGCGACAGGCAAGGCAGCGGGCAGAAUCUGCUUCAACACCGGGCUGGCGAGCCGCGGAACCAGGGCGCGACGGCGCUCGACCCCUCCACCCCCACCUCUUCUUCCUCGGGUCGCCGCUGUCUUCCUCAACUUUGGCCACCUCUGUUGCUACUAAGCUGUCGCAGGGCCUCCUUGCGCCUCCCCGGUGAGCUCCGCCUCCUCUCCCCUCUUCCUUCUCGCGUGCCAAGAAAUGCAUAGCAAUUAUUUGCUUCACUUAGUCAUUGAUGGUCAUUUAGUAUGAAAUUACAACCUGCAGGUAUUGGUUGGAAUGUGUAACUACAAUUUACAGGGGAAAUGUUUGCAGUUAAGUUAUGUGGUUGGAAAGAUCAUGUGUCAUUAGAAACUUGGAAGCUAAAAACAUUGCGAUCCUCACCAUAAGGAUGAUUAUAUCUUCCAUGCCUGAAUAGCUCUGCCUAAAUAAUAAAUAGAUAAAGGUAAAACUAAACCAUGCUCAGCGAUGAGAUGUUGUCAACUGACAACCAAAGCAAACUUGUUCAUCAUUACAAAAGCAAACUUGUUCAACAUAACAAAAGCAAACUUGUUCAACAUAACAAAAGCAAACUUGUUCAACCACAUAACUACAAACUAAGACACAGUAGUAGGGGUCAUCCCAAUACCACAAACAACUCAAUAUCCCUAGUAGUAGGUGUCAUCCCAAUGAUCCUCCGCCUCUUGCCAGAGCACCAAACCUUCUUUGGUGAUUUCGAUUUUCUUCCAUGCCUCGUAGGUGACGUACGCAUCUUUCGCGGCGUACUCGAUGAGCUUGUUUGGCAGUGGGCUGUCCCCCCAUAGUAGGUGGUCCGAAUUCCUGUCGAUCUUCUGCUUCAUUUUUGAGUAGGAUGGGUGGAUGAGGCUGGCUGCAAACUCAGCCAAAGACUGCCACUUCUUUCCAUUGUUUGGAACUCUCCAUUUGCACUGCAAGUCGACGUACUUGUCGGGGUUGAUCUCCAAUCUAGACAACUUCAGCUUCUCCUUGUCGCCUCUAAUGCAGAAGCCAACAAAGGUGUACGGCUUCUUCUCCUGCAGGAGCGGGCGGAGUUCCUUGGGCCUGCAUCAAAUUAAUCUGGUGCAUCAAAUUCAUCUACUUCAAAAACUUCAGAAAUUACAGAAUUAAAAUGGGUUCAGUUGAAGCAAAAUUCAGUUAAAAUAGCAUCUUCAGUUCUGACCAAAAUUCAGUUAAAAUAGUAUGAUCACAACAACUACUAAAUGAUCACAACAACUACAAGACAACAUUCUAUAUGAUCAAAACAGCAAGCAUAACAUCUCAAUGAUGUAUUUUUUUGCAAUCUUUUGCAUUACAAGACAACAUUCAUAACAGCUACUAAAUUAUCACAAAAACUUGUAGACAACAUUCUGUAUGAUCACCAAAAAACUACUAAUUAGACAGAAACUUCAUAACUUCAGAACUAGUAUUGCAUCUACUUCAGAACUUCAGAACUAUUGCAUCUACUUCAGAAACUGCAGAAACUUCAAAAACUUCAGAAACUACUAAUUAAAAUGAAACUUCAGAACUUCAGAAACUUCAUAACUUCAGAACUAGUAUUGCAUCUACUUCAGAACUUCAGAACUAUUGCAUCUACUUCAGAAACUUCAGAAACUUCAAAAACUUCAGAAACUACUAAUUAAAACGAAACUUCAGAACUUCAGAAAUUCAGAACUUCAGAACUAGUAUGCAUCUACUUCAGAACUUCAUAACUAUUGCAUCUACUUCAGAAACUACUAAUUAGAUAGAAACUUCAGAACUGGAUGUUUUUACCAUUUGGUUGCCGCGGUGAUGUGGUAUACCAGGACGAGAUCCUCCACGCAUAACUGCAGAACUGCAGCAAUUUGCGGAGGUUUGUCUUCCCUGGUAUACUCGACAUUAACACCGAUAUUCCGAGGAAGCAUGCCGCCGAGCCUCCUCCUCAUCUUGUGGAUCAUCUUGUCGGCUUCGUUUGGAUUGCUGGUGCAUACGACAUCCAGCGUCUCCUUCAGGUGGAUAUCAACCUUGAGCGGCACGGUGUAGUCCCGCUUCUGCCCGGGGACCAGAACGUCGUCGUCGACCACCAGCGGCUCCUUGCCAGACGCCUCACCACGAUGAUGCUUGGCAGACGGAGGGGAGUUGCUCCAUGAUGCCUCCGCCAUUCUCUUGGCAGACGGAGGGGAGUUGCUCCAUGAUUCCUCCACCAUUGCCCUCCUGGCUAGCGAUGGUGGAGGCAGAGGGGAGUUGCUUGAUGCUGGAGGCAGAGGGAGGUAGAGGGAGGAAGAUGAAGCGGCAAUGGAAUGAGGAGGGAGACAGAGGGAGGAAGAUGGAGCGACAAUGGAAUAGGAGGGGAGUUACCUGGACGUGGGAAGAAAACCCCCUCUGCGUCGUGGGGAGUUGCCAGUGGAGGGGAGACGUGGGGAGUUGCCUCGAAAACUCAAACGUCCUGCCCUUUCGAGGGGAGACGUGGGCCCUUGGAAACUCUGGAGGGGAGACGUGGGCCCUCCUGUUUUUGAAAUGUCCAGGAGGGGAGAUGUGGGCCCUCCUGUUUCUGAAAACUACACCUAUAUCUGACGAAACUGAAGGUGUUCUUCAGCAGCUGAUUAAAAUUCAAUUAACAACAACAUUAGUAAAAUUCAGUUAAUUAACUGAAGAAGAGAAAGUAGAGAGCAAGAGGAGUACUUGCAUUAACUGAAACGUUUUACUUUAAACUUGCAUGCAUUCUUUGCUUGUUUAUAUAUAUUCAUACUGAUGCAGUUACUUGCAUGGGCCUGGCUGAUGAAGAAAAACUUUAUAUAUAUUCAUACUGAUGUUGACUCUAUAAAUCAUACUUAUUGGACAUGUUUUAUGUGUUGAUCCAUCAAUUGAUCACAUUGAGAAAGACCAUCGUGUCUCCGACCAUUUUGCAAAGAUCAUGUCUCCGACCAUCGUGUCGUGAUGAAUUUGCAUUUACCCCGAGAGGCCCUUGAGUUUGUCGGAAUGUUGAUUAACUUCCGUUCCGGCAAAUUCGGGUACUCCAUAUGUCCUAUUUUCAGCAAAGGUCAUGCUGAAAUUUUCCUUGCUGCAUUAAACCAUAGGUGGCAAUAGAGCCAAGUGAUUAGGCCCAACUUAGAAUUCUCCUUAGCAUCGAUAAACCCUAGAUGAUAAACCCAACAUAGGUGGCAAUAGAGCCAAGUGAUUAGUGCCAAGUGAUUAGGCCCAACCUAGGGUGCCUCGGCAUCGAUAAACCCUAAAUGAUGAAAACUUAACUUGGCUGCCCCGGAUGCCUCGGUGUCGAUGAGAACCUAAAUGAUGUACGCUUAGGCUUUUAGGGUGCCUCGGCGUCGACAAACCCUAAAUGAUGAAAGCUUAGGCUUUUAGGGUGCCUCGGUGUCGACAAACCCUAAAUGAUGAGACCAUGAUCUUGUUCCUUGACAAUAACCAACUUUUUGACCAAACUUUUUUCCUAUUUAGAGUGAAACAUGGCCCACAAUGAUGAGGCCGGUGGUUCGGGAAGCAAGCAAUUCUAGGAGCUGUCCCAGGAGAUGGAGGAACAACCUCACUGCUAUGAGGACGCCGCGGAAGACACCGAUCCUGAUUACACAACCCCUAGUGGCGUCGGGGAUGACACCACUGAUGGUGCCGCCGAGGAUGCCACCACUGAUGAUGGCGGCGCACACACAGAUGGCAGCCAAUCGAAGAAGCAAAGGAAGGACCGGCGUCCGAAUGCGCUCCGCACCGUCAAGGAGGAAUUCACUCAAGUACAAGGGUAAGGUUCCCGGAGUCUACGACGACUGGGAGGAGUGUCGGAGACAGGUUCACCGUUUCAGCGGUAACAGUUACAAAGGGUACACCACUAGGGCGGAGGCCAAAUCUAGAUAUGCCCGCUAUCUAGCGGGAGAGAGGAGGGAGCGUUGGAGGAACCGGAUGAGGACCAGUUUGAUCGCGAUGAUGCUCAUCGUGAUGACCACAACUCUCUUUUAUGUGAUGGUAGUUUAGAUGAUCGAUAUCGACUUGUAAUGUGAAGACAAACUCGAUACUCGCGGUCUUGAGACUUGUAAUGUUUUAUCUUUGUUCGGUCUGUUGAAUUUGGAGACUAAUAUGAUGAAUUGUAUUCGGAGACUAAUCUUCUAUUGUAUUCGGUGAAUCUGAUGUUGCUGUGUGCUACUGUCUAUAUUCUGUCCAAUAAUAUAUUUUGUAACCUGUGCAAAAAUCAGAAAAGCAAAAAAAAAACCAAAUAUUCAAAAAAAAACAAAUAUUCAUACUAAUGGCGCAUCAAGGCAGAGUGCGCCAUUAGUGUGACAAAGGAUACUAAUGGCGCAUCAAGGCAGAGUGCGCCAUUAGUGUGACAAAGCACAUGGUUACAUAUGCCCCCCCGGGAGGCAUACUAAUGGCACAUGGAGUUACACACUAAUGGCGCACUGCCAGGUGCGCCAUUAGUAUACCAGAUACUAAUGGCGCACCAGUGGUGCGCCAUUAGUAAAAAAUUCUAAUGGCGUGCUACUAGUGGCGCACCGUGCGCCAUUAGUAGGCAAAACCGAUGCGCCAUUAGUAGGCCUUUUACUAGUAGUGCCAUACCCAUGUGAUUAUGUCUCCUUCUUCAAAGUUGGUGUUGUGAUCUUCUUGGCGAUAAUUCCCCUCAGGAUACGAUUCUCCUCCUCGAGCUUAUUGACUUGUUGCUUGAGGUUCAUAUUUUCCUUGCGGAGCUUGCCUGUUAUGGCUAAAGCUCCUUUUACCCAAGGGUGCUGCACAGCUUCUGGAGAACAAGUGACACUCUUUUUCAUAUUUUCAUAAGAAAGGAAUUUAACAUUGGCAGGGAUGAACGAAUUUGGAACAGCCGAGCUCCAAAGUUCCCCCAUUAUGAAUCCUGCUUGGAAGUGGGAGGUAACUUCUUGAUCUUCCUCCAUGGCAUCUAUCCUUUUCAAGUCGGCCUCCAUAUCAUCCUCCGUUGAUGAUCCAAAGUGAUAAGUAUCGCUUUUUUCUCCUGGACCUGGCGUUGGGUGAGACACCCGACUCUCCCCGACUGACUCUUGAGAAGACAUCUUGCUCUAAAUCUGCAACAGGAAUAACUAGAAACAAAGACAGAGGAUUUUUGCGUGAUACAACGGUCAAAACUUUUGGGAGAUUAUAUAAUGAAUUUUUACCGACCAAAAUACGUAACAUGCAAGAAAACGGAGUCCAGGAGGCACACUAGGUGUCCACGUGACAGGGGGGCACGCCCAGUAGGGGGGCUCCCUCCACCCUCGUGGAGGCCUCGUGUCCUUCCCAGAUUACUUCUUGCUUCCAUAAAUUUUUAAAUAUUCCAAAACGGAGGAAAAUUGCCAUUAGAAUUGUUUUGGAGUCAGUUUACUUAUCGUACCACAUACCUAUUCCUUUUCAGAGUUUGAAACAUUCUGGAAACUAUCCCUUAUGUAUUCCUUCGGGGUUACAAUUUCAAUAAUAUUAGUUUCAACAUUAAUAGGGUUACCUGAGAUAUAAUGUUUGAUUCUUUGACCAUUCACAACCCUCGAACUUGUGCCUUAGAAGUUGUUGAUUUUUAUGGCACCAGAACUAUAGACUUCCUCGAUAACGUAAGGACCUUCCCAUUUAGAGAGAAGUUUUCCUGCAAAAAAUCUUAAACUAGAGUUGAAUAGAAACACAUAAUCACCUACAUUAAAAUCUCGCUUUUGUAUCCUUUUGUCAUGCCAUCUUUUAACUUUUUCUUUAAACAACUUGGCAUUCUCAUAUGCUUGGGUUCUCCAUUCAUCGAGUGAGCUAAUGUCAAAUAACCUCUUCUCACCGGCAAGUUUGAAAUCAUAGUUGAGCUCUUUAAUUGCCCAAUAUGCCUUAUGUUCAAGUUCAAGAGGUAAGUGACACGCUUUUCCAUAAACCAUCUUAUAUGGAGACAUACCCAUAGGAUUUUUAUAUGCAGUUCUAUAUGCCCAUAAUACAUCAUCAAGUUUCUUGGCCCAAUUUUUUCUAGACCUAUUAACAGUCUUUUGCAAAAUUAAUUUGAGCUCUCAAUUACUCAACUCUACUUGACCACUAGAUUGUGGGUGAUAAGGGGAUGCAAUUCUAUGAUUAACAUCAUACUUAGCAAGCAUUUUACGGAAAGCACCAUGAAUAAAAUGUGAACCACCAUCAGUCAUGAGAUAUCUAGUGACUCCAAACCUCGGGAAAAUAACAUCUUUAAGCAUCUUAAUAGAGGUGUUAUGAUCAACACUACUAGUUGGAAUAUCUUCUACCCACUUAGUAACGUAAUCAACAACAACUAAAAUAUGUGUAUAUCCAUUAGAGGCAGGAAAAGGUCCCAUAUAAUCAAAGCCCCAAACAUCAAAUGGUUCGAUAACAAGAGAAUAAUUCAUAGGGAUUUCUUGACGUCUACUAAUAUUACCAAUUCUUUGACAUUCAUCACAAGACAAGACAAACUUACGAGCAUCUUUGAAGAGAGUGGGCCAAUAAAAACCGGAUUGCAAUACCUUAUGCGUAGUUCUGUCUCCAGCGUGGUGUCCUCCAUAUGAUUCAGAGUGACACUUGCGUAGGAUCUGUUCCUGUUCAUGCUCAGGUCCACAACGUCUAAUAACACCAUCUACUCCUUCUUUAUAAAGGUGUGGGUCCUCCUAGAAGUAAUGUCUUAAAUCAUAAAAGUACUUUUUCUUUUGCUGGUAUUUGAAACUAGGUGGUAUAAAUUUAGCAACAAUGUAAUUAGCAUAAUCAACAUACCAUGGAGCAGUAUGAGAAGCAUUAAUGACUGCUAAUUGUUCAUCAAUAGGUAGUGGGACAUCAAGAACAUUCUCUAGCCUAGACAAGUUGUCUGCAAUGGGGUUCUCAGCUCCCUUUCUAUCAAUAAUUUGCAAAUCAAAUUCUUGAAGCAAGAGAACCCGUCUAAUAAGUCUAGAUUUAGCAUCUUUCUUUUCCAUAAGAUAUUUAAUAGCAGCAUGAUCAGUGUGAAUAGUAACUUUAGAAUCAAUAAUGUAAUGUCUAAACUUAUCACAAGCAAAUACAACUGCUAAGAAUUCUUUUUUAGUAGUAGCAUAAUUUCUUUGGGCAGUAUCAAGAGUCUUACUAGCAUAUUGAAUAACAUUUAAUUUUUUAUCAACUCUUUACCCUAGAACAGCACCUGCAGCAUAAUCACUAGCUUCACAUAUAAUUUCAAAGGGUAAAUUCCAAUCAGGUGGCUGAACAAUAGGUGCAGUGAUCAAAGCUUUCUUAAGUAUUUCAAAUGCUUCUACACAAUCAUCAUCAAAGACAAAAGGAAUAUCUUCUUGCAAUAAAUUAGUCAGAGGCCUAGAGAUUUUAGAAAAGUCCUUAAUGAACCUCCUAUAAAAACCGGCAUGACCAAGGAAACUUCUUAUACCUUUAAUGUCCUUGGGACAUGGCAUCUUUUCAAUAGCAUCAAUUUUAGCUUUAUCAACUUCAAUACCUCUUUCAGAAAUUUUAUGCCCAAGAAAAUGCCUUCAUUAACCAUAAAGUGACACAUUUCCCAAUUCAGGAUGAGACUAGUGUCUUCACAUCUCUGCAAAACUCGAUCAAGGUUGCUCAAGCAAUCAUCAAAAUAGGAUCCAGAGACGGAGAAGUCAUCCAUGAAUACCUCACAAAUCUUUUCACAAAAGUCAGAGAAUAUAGCCAUCAUGCAUCUUUGAAAGGUAGCAGGUGCAUUACAUAAACCAAAAUGCAUACGUCUAUAAGCAAAAGUACCAAAAGGGAAAGUAAAAGUAGUUUUAGAUUGAUCCUUCGCGGACACAGGUAGUUGAGAGAAGCCAGAAUAACCAUCUAGAAAGCAAAAAUGUGUGUGUUUGGAUAGCCUUUCUAGCAUUUGAUCAAUAAAAGGUAAAUGGUAAUGAUCUUUCUUAGUAGCUUUAUUUAACUUACGGAAAUCAAUUACCAUCCUAUAGCCUGUAAUAAUUCUUUGCGGGAUUAUUUCAUUUUAUCAUUAGGAACAAUGAUAAUACUUUCCUUUUUAGGGACACAAUGGACAGGGCUUACCCAUUCACUAUCAGCAACGGGAUAAAUUAUACCUGCCUCAAGUAGCUUUAGUAUCUCUCCUUUCUUACCACUUCUUUCAUCUUAGGGUUUAAUCGUCGUUGAGGAUCUCUAACGGGUUUGGUAUCUUUCUCCACUUUUAUUUUGUGCUGGCAUAGAGUAGGACUAAUGCCCUUAAGAUCAUCCAGAGUAUAUCCAAUAGCAGCACGGUGCUUCUUCAGAGUUUUCAAUAAUCUUUCCUCUUCCCGCUCUGAAAGGUUAGCAUUAAUAAUAACAUGAUAUAUCUUCUUUUCAUCAAGAUAACCAUAUUUGAGAUUAUCAGGUAAUGGUUUGAGCUCAAACACGGGAUCACCCUUGGGUGGAGGAGGAUCCCCUAGGAUUUCAACAGGUAAGUUGUGUUUCAAGAUAGGAACCUGCUGAAGGAAUACUUCAUCUAUUUCCCUUCUUUCAUUCAUAAACAUAUCAUUUUCAUGGUCUAGCAAAUAUUGUUCUAGCGGACCAGUAGGAGGCACGGCAAUAGAAGCAAGACCAAUUAUUUCAUCUUUACUAGAAUUCUUUAUCACGGGGUUGUCUACAAAAUUUAGCAAAAUUAAACUCGUGAGUCAUAUCAUCCAAGCCAAUUGUAACAACAUCCUUUUUGCAAUCAAUUUUAGCAUUAACAGUGUUCAAGAAGGGUCUACCAAAUAUAAUGGGACAAAAGUCAUCUUGUGGGGAACCAAGAGCAAGAAAAUCAGCAGGGUAUUUGACCUUCCCACACAACACUUUAACAUGUCUAACAAUCCCAAAAGGCUUAAUAGUAUCUCUAUUGGCAAGCUUAAUUGUAACAUCAAUAUCUUCCAACUCAGCGGGUGUAAUAUUGUGCAUACUUUAUUUAUAUAAGAAAAAGGUAUUGCACUAGCACUAGCACCCAUAUCACAUAAGCCAUGAUAACAAUGAUCUCCUAUUUUAACAGAAAUAACAGGCAUGCCAACAACAGGUCUAUGUAUCUUAGCAUUUGGUUUUGCAAUAUUAGCAGCUUCAUCACAGAAAUAAAUAACAUGCCCAUCUAUAUUAUCAUCCAAGAGAUCUUUAACCAUAGCAAUACUAGGUUCAACUUUAAUUUUCUCAGAGGGUGUAUAUGUUCUAGUAUUACUCUUACAAACAACCGUUGAAGCUUUAGCAUGAUCCUUUAUUCUAACAGGAAAAGGUGGUUUCUCAACAUAAGUAGUAGGAACAAUAGGAUCAUUAUAAGUAAUAGUCUUUUCUUCAACUGUAAUAGGUGCAACUACUUUUACUUCAAUGGGAGGAUUAUAUUUAAACCACUUCUCCUUAGGGAGAUCAAUGUGAGCAGCAAAAGAUUCACAGAAAGAAGCUACUAUCUCAGAGUCAAGUCCAUAUUUAGCACUAAAUCCUCGAAAAGCAUCGGUAUCCAUAAAAGAUUUAACACAAUCAAACUUAGGUGUUAUACCUGACUCCUUACCAUCGUCGGAAUCCCAAUCUUCAGAGUUGCGUUUAAUUCUUUCCAAUAAGUCCCACUUGAAUUCAGUAGUCUUCAGCAUAUAAGAACCAACACAUGAAGUAUCGAGCAUGAUGCGAUCAUUGAGAGAAUUUUUUUGAAUAAUCUUUUCUCUUGAUAGCUCAUGAUUGGGGCAUGAAUAUAACAUUGACUUAAGCCUCCCCCAAGCUUGAGAGAUGCUUUCUCCUCCGCGAGGCUAGAAAUUAUAUAUGUAUUACGAUCACGGUGAACAAGAUGCAUAGGAUAGAACUUCUGGUGAAAUUCCAACUUCAAUCGUUUAUGGUUCCAAGAUCCCGUAUCAUCACAUAGCCUAUACCAUGUCAAUGCAUCUCCCUUCAUAGAUAAAGGGAAAACCUUCCUCUUAACAACAUCAUCGGGAAUACCUGCAAGCUUAAAUAAUCCACAAACUUCAUCCACAAAGAUAAGGUGUAAAUCAGGAUGCAAUGUUCCAUCUCCUGCAAAGGGAUUAGCUAGCAGUUUCUCUAUCAUACCCGAAGGAAUUUUAAAGUAAACAUUUUCAGUAGGUUCAGUAGGUUGAGGAGCAACUCUUUGCUCUUCUGGUCGGGGCGAACAUGCCCCGAACAAGCCCCUCAAAGGAUUAGUUUCCAUGUAACAAGUGACAGAAAAUUUCAGCACACUAUAUAAAUGUUUCCUUACCAAGUUCCACUCACCAAAGGCGCUUCACUCCCCGGAAACGGCGCCAGAAAAAUGUCUUGAUGACCCACAAGUAUAGGGGAUCUAUCGUAGUCCUUUUGACAAGUAGGAGUGUUGAACCCAACGAGGAGCAGAUGGAAAUGACAAGCGGUUUUCAGUAAGGUAUUCUGUGCAAGCACUGAAAUUGUAGGUAACAGAUAGUUUUGUGAUAAGAUAAUUUGUAAGGAGUAACAAGCAAUGAAAGUAAAUAAAGUGCAGAAAGGUGGCCCAAUCCUUUUUGUAGCAAAGGACAAGCCUUGACAAUUUCUUAUAAUGAGAAAAGCGCUCCCGAGGAUACAUGGGAAUUACCGUCAAGCUAGUUUCAUCAUGAUCAUAUGAUUCACGUUCGGUACUUUGAUAAUUUGAUAUGUGGGUGGACCGGUGCUUGGGUACUGCCCUUACUUGGACAAGCAUCCCACUUAUGAUUAACCCCUAUUGCAAGCAUACGAAACUACAAAAUAAGUAUUAAGGUAAACCUAACCAUAGCAUGAAACAUAUGGAUCCAAAUCAACCCCUUACGAAGCAACGCAUAAACUAGGGUUUAAGCUUCUGUCACUCUAGCAACCCAUCAUCUACUUAUUACUUCCCAAUGCCUUCCUCCAGGCCCAAAUAAUGGUGAAGUGUCAUGUAGUCGACAUUCACAUAACACCACUAGAGGAGAGACAACAUACAUCUCAUCAAAAUAUCGAACGAAUACCAAAUUCACAUGACUACUAAUAGCAAGACUUCACCCAUGUCCUCAGGAACAAACGGAACUACUCACAAAGCAUAUUCAUGUUCAUAAUCAGAGGAGUAUUAAUAUGCAUAAAGGAUCUAAACAUAUGAUCUUCCACCAAGUAAACCAAUUAGCAUCAACUACAAGGAGUAAUCAACACUACUAGCAACCCACAUGUACCAAUUUGUGGUUUUGAUACAAGAUUGGAUACAAGAGAUGAACUAGGGUUUAGAGAGGAGAUGGUGCUGGUGAAGAUGUUGAUGAAGAUUGAGCCGCUCCUGAUGAGAGGAUCGUUGGUGAUGAUGAUGGUUAUGAAUUCCCCCUCCCGGAGGGAAGUUUCCCCGGUAGAGCAGCUCUGCCGGAGCCCUAGAUUGGUUCCGCCAAGGUUCCACCUCGUGGCAGAGGAGUUUCGUCUCGUGAGCUUGCCUCCGAUUUUUUCCAGGAUAAAAGACCUCAUAUAGCAGAAGAUGGGCACCGGAGGACCACCAGGGGGCCCAGGAGACAGGGGGCGCGCCCAGUAGGGGAGGGGGCACCCCCACCCUCCUGGCCAGGGUGUGGGUCCCCUCUGGUACUUUCUUUGCCCAAUAAUUCUUAUUAAAUCCAAAAAUGACUUUCGUGGAGUUGCGGGACUUUUGGAGCUGUGCAGAAUAGGUUUCCAAUUUUGCUCCUUUUCCAGCCAGAAUCCCCGCUGCCGGCAUUCUCCCUCUUCAUGAUAAACCUUGUAAAAUAAGAGAGAAUAGCCAUAAGUAUUGUGACAUAACGUGUAAUAACAGCCCAUAAUGCAAUAAAUAUUGAUAUAAAAGCAUGAUGCUAAAUGGACGUAUCAUGGACCAACACCCCCCCUCAAAGGACGGGGGAGGAGCUGAAGCUCCAUCGGCGGCCACUAUCAAUCUAGAGGCCGCUGAUGCUCUACAGGAAGCGUUGCAAUGCACUUCCAUUGUAGAGGAACACCGCGGCCUGAUGGGUGCGGUUAUGGAGAAAGUUCGUUCUGCGAAGAGCGGACUGACCGAAUCCUUCAACAGCCUACUGCCGGGCUUUGAGGUAUGCAAUGUAAUAUUCUUUACAAGUUCUUUUUUGUAUAUAUAUGUGUGUGAGGUAGAACCCAUGUAUAGACAGUAGCCCCUGAGACUCUGUCCGCAUUAGAACAAUCCGAACAAAGGAUCAACACAAGUAUAUAACGCAUUGUAUAUGUUGUUGGACAAGCGUCUAUGCUGGCGGCUACUGCCCAGGCCACAGAAAUUGCCGAGCUCAAUUGGAAGCUUCGGAUAUCCGACGAGGAACUUGACCACAUCAACAAGCGGUUUAAUGAAACCCAAGGUAUGCGGCACUACGACAUUCCCGAAAUUUAUAUGUGUAUUAGUCUUUUAAACUGACUAAAAAUGUUAUAAAAUACUCACAGUUGGCGCAGCCGAGGUCGAGUCUCUCAGGAACGCCCUCGCCGAACCCAAGAAGGAGGCAUAGGUGAGCAAGACGGCCGCGGACAAAGCGGCCAAAGAUUUGGAGGCGGAGCAAACCACCCGCCGCAGACAUGAGACGUGGGUGGGGGAGGUUGAACAGGAGCUCAAGGACGCCAUCACCAAGUGUGAGUCCUUGGAGCAAAAGAGUUCAGAAUAGGCCUCCGAGCUCACCAAAGCUCUUGAGAGCAUGAAGGAAGCCUGGGUUGAUGCACAGGGCGCUCGACAGGAGAUCCAAUAGGCGAGGCAGAUUGCGGCUGGUAAGGCCUUUAUCAUGCAGAGUAGAUUUACUAGUAAGAGAUAUAUUUUACUGACCCGAGUUUGGAGUUCUCCAAGCGCCUUUGCAGAUCUGCCGAGGAGUAUUGCGGAUGCCGCCGCAUUCUUCCAAGCCGAAGAGGGGAGCUCGACGGAGAAGUUGUUCUGGUCACAGUGUCUUGCACCAAAACUUCCAGUGCCCCUUAGUGACCAGCUGAAGCAGCUGUCCGAGCUGCACAGGGUGGCCGGACUGGCCAUGAAGGAUGUAAUAGUCCGCCUAUGGCCGACCGAGUCCAUACCCAGCAGCCACUUCGAACUCGUGAAGCGGUUGGUGGAUGCGCUUCCUUGGAUCGAGACCCUCAAGCGGUCGUCCUGCAUAUAAGGUGCCUUGACGGCCUUCGCCCACGUCAAGAUUUGGUGGGCGAAAGAUGAAGGCCACUGAGAUUGCCACCGCAGGGCCACCUGAAGGCAAGGAUCACCGGCGGCCGGAGAGGUACUUCGAUGAGGUCCUCGAGGGAGCCUGCAUUGUAGAGGGCCAGUUCUCAAAGGACAUCAUAUUUAAAUAGUUGAGUCCGUUUUGUAAGAGUCAUAUAAUGAACUCGUGAUGUAUAAUAUAUAUAUGCUUGCGCUUUAUAAUUAGUUUAUCCUGCUUUUUGGCCGUUUAUAAAUCUGAAAGUUUACCAGUCGUCGGCUUCUGCCCCACGUAAAUAUUACAGGGGUGUUUGGGAACACAUGACCGCACUUUAUCCAACGUCUUGGUCCGAUGUAGGAGGCGUCUUGCAAAGUGAACCAGGCAAUCAGACUAUGCGGAUUUAGUACUUUCACUUGGCCAUAAGAGUCCAUCGGUGGUGCUAAGUACUAGCCCCUUGUUGCAUGAACGGAAAUCCAGAGUACGGCGCCUUUGCAAUGCAGCUGGUCAAAUCCGAGCCCCUCGUAUACCACGGCAUAAAUCGCGAACGAUUUGUAGUAUGACACCGAGUCACCGGAUCGCUGACCCGUAGUUUUCGGCUUUCUCUACUGAGGUACUUAACCGGAUGAACCAGAAAUACAAUCGCAAUAGUUCUCCCUUUACUACGUUAGCUGAACUUGCGGAACGUAAGGUGACAAACACAGCUGCCGGGCAACCCAACUAUAGACCAAAGACAUGAUUCGGAGCCGAUGCAUAUAAUGCAAUAUUCGGGACGCUGAAGAGUUCCCUAUAGGUGUCUGGACUUAAGAGUUUUGCGGGGCCGAAUACAACCCCUGGUAUGAAGGUUGUGCCGAACCACACAUGUCAGUUGAACGUAAGGGGGAACACAGAUGACAAGGUAAUACCAGGACCCAACCAAGAAGGUGAUAAUCAUCUGCUUCCUUUAUAUCUUUAUUCAUACGUCAACGACAGACAACACCGUUCAAUACUAAGGUCAUAUUGCAUGACCAAAGGGAAAAAGAAAAGGUUUUACAUAAGGGAAAGUAUAACACAGGGCCUAAAGAUCAUAGUUGAAAAAAGAAGCUCCAUGAUGCCCUGCCGCAUGUCUGCGCCAUUUCUCCUUAGUAAUAAGUCCUUUGAGAGGAGCAUUUGAUGGUUGGGAAAUGCUAGCCUCAAAAGGAACUCCUGCAACAACCAUCUAGCAAGUAGGGCUCUUGAUGAACCUGUCGUAAGACAAAAGAGAUAUAUGCGGUACAAAUAGGGUCAAGCUGUACAAUGUACCUCUUCUGUAGUGUGCCUCCAGCACCGCCCAAGGUAUUUUUAGUGUGUAAUUAUGUACGCACGGUACACAAACCGCAACCUGGUAGGGCGAUCGGUGGAGGCCGAACUGCUAAUCAAGGUCCGGAUAUGUUGAUUUAUCGCUAUUAUGCAUGGACCAGACUCGUUUGGAUACGUCAUUGGCUUUAUUGGCCGGUGAACUAUUCGACUUGAUAAGGCCACCACAUUUCGGCUGCAAGGGCCGCUGUGUGCUCUUUAGUACGGAGGGAGUGCUCCGUGUUACCAUUGGCUAUAAUAACACCACGGGGUCUGGGCAUCUUAAGCUUUAAGUAAGCAUAGUGCGGGACUACAUUAAAGCGGGCGAAAGUAGUUUGUCCGAGCAGUACGUGAUAGCCACUGUGGAAAGGGAUGAUGUCGAAGAUCAAUUCUUCACUGUGAAAGUUGUCUGGGGAGCCAAGAACUACCUCCAGUGUUAGUGAGCACGUGCAACGGGCCUCCACUCCUUGUAUCACACCUUUAAAGGUAGUGUUACUAGGCUUGAUUCUUGAUGGGUCAAUGCCCAUCUUACGGACAGUGUCUUGAUAAAGCAAGUUGAGACUGCUACCUCCGACCAUAAGGACUCUAAUGAGGUGUUAUCCGUAAAUAGUUGGAUCAAGUACCAGGGCAGCCGAACCCCCGUGACGGAUACUGGUUGGGUGAUCCCUAUGAUCAAAGGUUAUCGGACAGGCUGACCAUGGGUUGAACUUGGGGGCGAAAGGCUCUACAGCGUAGACGUCCCAUUGUGUGCGCUUGCGCUCCCUUUUGGGAAUGUGAGUGACAUAGAUCAUGUUCACUGUAUUUACUUUGGGGGGGGGGGAAACUGCUUCUAAUCCCCGGUGUUCGGCUGACGAGGCUCAUCAUCGUCUUCGGUUGGAGGUCCCUUUCCCUUGUGUUCGGUGUUUAUCUUACCGGCCUAUUUGAAAAUCCAACAAUUCCUAUUGGUGUGGUUCACAGGCUUAUCAGGUGUGCCAUGAAUCUGACAGGGCCUCUCGAGGAUUUUAUCCAAGCUGGAUGGCCCAUCUUUGUUGCCUUUGAAAGGUUUCUUCCACUGACCGGACUUAGGGCCGCUGAAUCUGGUAUUGACUAUCGUAUCGUCUGCGUUGUUGCUUCUACGAGCCAACCAGCUAUCCUUGCCCGCACAAAAGUGGGUCAUAAGUGUAGUUAAGGCUGCCAUGGUCUUCAGUUUUUCCAGCCUGAGGUGUCGAGCAAGCCAUUCGUCUCGGACGCUGUGUUUGAAGGCCGCUAAGGCUUCGGCGUCCAGACAAUCCACGAUCUGGUUCUUUUUAGUUAAGAAACGGUUCCAAAGUUUACAAGCUAAUUCACCUGGUUGUUGGAUUAUGUGACUCAAGUCGUCAGCAUCCGGUGGCCAGACAUAAGUGCCCUGAAAGUUGGCCUAAAAGGUGUCUUCCAAUCUUCCCAGGUUCCAAUGGAGUUUUUUGGGAGGCUGUUUAGCUAGUGCUGUGCUAGUCCCUUCAACUUUAGAGGAAGAUAUUUAAUGGCGUGGAGAUCAUGUCCUCAAGCCAUGUGGAUGUGGAGAAGAAAAUCUGCAAUCCAGACGGUCAGAUCCGUUGUUCCAUUGUAUUGUUCAAUGUUUACAGUUUUAAACCCUUCCGGAAAUUGGUGUUCCAUGACCUCGUUGUGAAGCAUAAGGGGUGUGCGGCCCCUCUAUAUCACGCAAUAUCGCGACGGAGAUCGGCUGGCAUCUGAGUUCGGUUCUGUUCCCCAGUAUAGUAAUGAUCGUCAUGAUAGGCUUCAUAGUAGUUGUUUCGUGCCAGGGCAUGGCCCCUUGAUCUGUAGAUUGAUCUAGUCUAACCAGCUUUAUUGGCUAGGUCAUGUUGCAAGUCAUAUGUGUAUCCCGCAGCUGCUGUCUCCUUGCCUCUUCAGUGAGGGGGUGUAGGUUGGUGUUUGGCUUGAUAUGUCGCUUUAUCCCGUCCACGUGGUGGUCGGUCUGGUUGAUCUUCCUGAUUGUGUUUCGACGGUAUUGUGUCAAAGGCUUCAUCAUUCUAUUGCAGAAGGAGCUUUCGCUUAGGGUAACUUUUGGUAGGUCGCUCGUGGCUGUACUCCUCAGCGGCCAGGACCUUAGUCCACCUUUCAUUGAGCGUAUCCUGUUCGGCUUUGAGCUUCUACUAUAUCUUUUUAAGCUUCGGGCUGUAGCAAUGAGCUGUCGCUUGAAGCGUUCUUGUUUGAGGGGUUCCUCUGGGAUGAUAAAAUCUUCAUCGCCGAGGGCCGAGGCUGACCUCCUCUUCGGAUUCUGCCAUAUAGUUUGUGUCCUCCGAAUCUUUGUGAUCAACGUGUUCGGGACUAUGUUCACCUUGUUUCCUCUCGUCUUGUUCAGAUGUGGGCUCGACGGGGUAUUUGGGAUCUUCGGCAUCGUUUGGAGUCUCAUUGUCUCCGGUGCUGGUAUUACUGUCCUUCGCCCGACGUGAUUGUGAGCGGCACUGAUAAUGUCGGUGCUUUGGUGGUUUAUCGACGGGUUUGUCCUCAUUAGGGUUUUGAUUAUCCUUAUCAUCCUUUUUAUCAGGAGUGUCCAACAUGUAUACGUCGUAAAUUGAUGUUGUCGUCCAAUGCCCUGUGAUGGGUGGGACUUGGCUCGGUUCGGCGUCUGCAUCAUCGUCAAUACCGUCGAUGUCUUCGGACGUGUAGUCCAGCAUGUCGGUUAAAUCCUCAACAGUGGCUACUAAGUGGGUGGUGGGUGGGGUGUAAAAUUCUCCAGUCUCAGCCUCCAGCCCGAGCUGGGUAUAGUUCGGCGAUAAAGCCUCGGUGAUGGCGAGAGCCUGCAUCAAUCCCAAUGUUUCGUCUAGGAGUGGAAGUUUGACUGGAAAAUGUGGAUCUGUAGGGCUGAGUUCGGCAUGAGACGCCUGAUCGGACUCAAUGAGUGCAGACCUCGACAGUUUGGGGCGGUUUCCCAGGGCCAAGUCUAAGAUCGGAUCUGGGUCUUCGGUCGGGAGUUCCAUAAGGGGAAGAGGUCCGGUGGGGCUCUCGCUCUCGUUUUCGGACCAUGAGGCCCGCCCCGGAUCUAAGGCCGAGGUGGGUAUGAGUGUUGACCCCUGGUCAAGAUCUAAUAAGGGAUCCGAAGAGUCUUCUUGGCGGGGACACAGAGUAGCAGUAGAGGCUCGUCGGAUGUCAGCAACAUAGUUCAGGUUUCCAAACCUAAUCCGGCGGCUAGGGGCUUAACUGUCGACCUGCUCAAGGCGGCCGAUCGAGUUGGCGCGAAGCACAAAGCCACCGAACAAAAAGACCUAUCCAGGGAGAAAGGUUUCCAUGGAUGCGGCAUCAUCAUUGAUUAAGAGGUGAGCCAUCGAUCCCUCUAUCAACAAUACAACGGAGCUCUCAAUGAAAGCACCAAUGUCGGUGUCAAAACUGACAGAUCUCGGGUAAGGGGGCCCAAGCUGUAUGUAUGAGGACCGAUGAUAACUAUGAACAAAGGACAUUGUUUUCCCAAGUUCGGGCCCUCUUAAGAGAGGUAAAACCCUACUCCUGCUUAAUUAUAUUCAAGGGGUAUAGGGGUUACAAGAGUUGAUCUACCACGAGAUCUAGCAAUGUUGUGGUCUUGCCUCCGAUCUACCCUCCCGUUUAUAUAGACAUCGGAGGGGCUUAGGGUUGUACAAAGUCGGUUUUACAGAAAGGAAUAACAUAUUCGGACAACUAUACUUGCCAUGCACGCAUAAGGGAGUCCCUACCGGACAUGAGAGGUGAUCUUCUGUCUUGUAUCUUGACGGCCCAUCACUCCGGCCCAUAUCCAAUAGACCAGACGCCUGAGGACCCCCUAGUCCAGGACUCCCACACCAGGGGAGGUCUGUGGGGCCCACAAGACACCAGGGCAUGCCAGAGGCCCCUAGCGCGCCCUGAUGGGUUGUGGGGCCCAGAGAGGUCAUCUCCACCGCCUCUCGGCUCUAUAAAUAUCCAAAUAUUUCAGAAACCCUAGGGAAGUCGAUGAAACACAAUUCCAGCCGCCGCAAGUUCCAGAACCACAAGAUCCAAUCUAGAGCCCUAUUCCGGCACCUUGCCGGAGGGGAACACGAUCACGGAGGGGUUCAUCAUCCUCAUUGGUGCUCCUCCGAUGAUGCGUGAGUAGUUCACCAUAGACCUAUGGGUCCGUAGGCAGUAGCUAGAUGGCUUCUUCUCUCUUUGAUCUUCAAUAAAAUGGUCUCCUUGAUGAAAUCUAUUUGAUGUAUCUCUUUUGCGGUGUGUUUAUUGGGAUCCUAUGAAUUGCGAGUUUAUGAUCAGUUCUAUCCAUGAAUAUUAUUUGAGUCCUCUUUGAUCUCUUAUAUGCAUGAUUGUUAUAGACUCGUAUUUCUUCUCUAAAACUUUGGUUUAGUUUGGCCAACUAGAUUGAUUUUUCUUGCAAUGGGAAGAGGUGCUUUGUGAUGGGUUCCAUCUUGCGGUGGCCUCACCCAGUGACAGAAGGGGUAGCAAGGCACAAAUGUAUCAUUGCUAGUAAGGAUAAAAAGAUGGGAUCUAUUCCUACAUGAAUAGAUCUUGUCUACACCAUGCCUAUAUACAUGAUCAUUACCUUGGAUAUCGUCAUAACUAUUUGCUCUUCUGUCAAUUUCCCAAUAGUAUUUUUUACCCACCGUAUGCUAUUUUCUCGAGAGAAGCCACUAGUGAAAUCUACGCCCCCCGGGUCUAUUUUCUAUCAUAUUGUUUUUCAGAUAUAUUACUCCAAAAAGCCAAAAAUACCUUGCUUCACUUUUUCUUUCUUUAUUUUAUUUUUUUGUUUUUGCAAGAUCUAUUUAUCCAGUCUCAUACAAUUUAAUCUAUUUGAAUACCGUGGAGGGAUUGACAAGCCCUCUUACGUGUUGGGUUGCAAGUUUUUGUUAUUUGUGUGAAGUUACUGUUUACAUAGUGUUGCCUGGUUCUCCUACUGGAUUGAUACCUUGAUUCAUAACUGAGGGAAAUUCUUACCAUUGAUGUACUGCAUCAUCCUCUCCUCUUUGGGGAAAUAGGAAUGCAGAUACAAGCAAUCAAUAAUGUCGACCCAGCUGAUAUGACCCCUCUUGUUGGGGAUAUAACUCCAAGGUGUGACCCGCCUAGGAGGGGCUGGGUUACACCGAUGUCGGUUUAACAUGAAGAAGGUCCAAAGAGGCCCAAUGAGAAGUAUGAAGACAACGACUCUUGGAGGCAGGCCUGGUGAAGGCCCGAGACCGGGGUCUGUGAACCAUCGAAGGAAGACUUGCUCCGUAAGGCAUGACUAGUUAGAAACCGAGGCGGUCACGUUGUGUGAGCCGGCCGGGACUCUAUAAGCCUUCGGGUCUCUACCUGUGUAUAUAAAGGUGAUGCCCGGCGGCGGGUUAACUCAAGAAACAAGUAAUUGAGAACAAGGUCAAGUGUAUUCACUCCCUUGUAAUCGAAAAACAACAGUACAACUAGAAGCAGGACGUAGGCUUUUACCUCCACCAUGAGGGGACGAACCUAGGUAAACUCCUUGUGUCCUUUGUCCUGUUCAACCCCUUGAAGCUAACCUAAGUCGCGAUGGCUCCACACCUAAGUCCUUCCACUAGGGCAUCUACCGUGACAAAUCCACGAUAGUUGGUGCCCAUCGUGGGGCAAGAGCACGGUGGUUUCAAGUUCUUGAAGGGAAACUUCUCAAGGAUCAAGGGAUACACCAUGGGUCUGAUGACCAAGAGCCACUACGGCAAGAUAUACAUCGAUGAUUCUAGUUGGGGUUCGAGGCCGAUUUAAUUGAGUAUGGGUAUCGGGCCCCCUUCGGUAGAAUUCAAGUCUUCAUCGGCAAGAUUGGCGAGUUAGAUCCUGAGCCGGUCACCUGCGUCGAAACCGUUGAGACGGCUCGGCGCGUGAGACCCGCCAAGGUCCAACCCUCCCGGAAGUGUGCAUUCAUCGGUUUUAUCCAUGGGAUGGAUCCUAAGGAGGGUUCUGUGGCUGGUGGAGAAGCGACCAUCUAUUCAGGUGAUGAAUCUUCAACCGGCGAGACCAAAUCAAUCUAUUGACUGCAAGAUGGUGGGCUUGGGGGCUAUUAUGAUGGUGAAAGUAUUCCAGAGCCCUAUGAGGCGCCGACCAGGGCUGCUAUCUUCAUGGACGGUACGCAACAGAUGCUAAAUUCAUCAACUGUUGUGGCUAUGAACUCUAGUUCAACGGCUGUUGCGACGGCCGGGGCAAGCGGCCCUGUGUGCCUGCUGGCUUAGGUCUUAUCCGAGCUCUUGGGUGCUUUGGCAACUCUAUUAGCUGUAGAGGUAACCCCAGCGACUCAAGCACAACAUAAGGUGGAAGUUGCUGUUGGGGAACGUAGCAGAAAUUCAAAAUUUUCCUACGUGUCACCAAGAUCUAUCUAUGGAGAAACCAGCAACUAGGGGAAGGAGAGUGCAUCUACAUACCCUUGUAGAUUGCUAAGCGGAAGCGUUCAAGAGAAUAGGGUUGAAGGAGUCGUACUCGUCGUGAUCCAAAUCACCGGAGAUCCUAGUGCCGAACGGACGACACCUCCGCGUUCAACACACGUACAACCCGGUGACGUCUCCCAUGCCUUGAUCCAGCAAGGAGAGAUGGAGAGGUUAUGUAAGACUCCGUACAGCAGCAGCACAAUGGCGUGGUGGUCGUGGAGGAGCGUGGCAAUCCUGCAGGGCUUCGCCAAGCACCGCGGGAGAGGAGGAGAACUUGGGAGAGGGGUGGGCUACGCCAGAACUUGGGUGCGGCUAUCCUCCCACCCCCCACAUAUAUAUAGGGGAAAGGGAGAGGGGGGGCGGCCUCCUCAGAUCCAAUCUGAGGAGGGGGCGGCGGCCAAGGGGGGGAGGAGUGCCUCCCAAGUUAAGUGGAGGCCCUCCCCCUUAGGGUUUCCCCUCUCCCAUGCGCAUGGGCCUUGGGGGGGCUGGUGCCCCUGGACCAUUAAGGCUAGGGAGCCCCCCUACAGCCCAUGCUGCUGUAUUGGACAUGGUGGAACAAUUUCCGGACCUCCGGACCCCACCGGAAUCCUCCGGAACCUUCUGGAAGCUUCCCGGUACAAUACCGGAAAAACCCGAACUUUUCUCGGAACCCGAAAAACAACUUUCCAUAUAUAAAUCUUUACCACCGGACCAUUCUGGAACUCCUCGUGAUGUCCGGGAUCUCAUCCGGGACUCUGAACAACAUUCGGUAACCACAUACAAACUUCCUUUAUAACCCUAGCGUCAUCGAAUCUUAAGUGUGUAGACCCUACGGGUUCGGGAACCAUGCAGACAUGACCUAGACGUUCUCCGGCCAAUAACCAACAGCGGGAUCUGGAUACCCAUGUUGGCUCCCACAUGUUCCACGAUGAUCUCAUCGGAUGAACCACGAUGUCAAGGACUCACUCAAUCCCGUAUACAAUUCCCUUUGUCUAGCGGUAUUGUACUUGCCCGAGAUUCGAUCGUCGGUAUGCCGAUACCUUGUUCAAUCUCGUUAUCGGCAAGUCUCUUUACUCGUUCCAUAACACAUCAUCCCUUGAUCAACCCCUUGGUCACAUUGUGCACAUUAUGAUGAUGUCCUACCGAGUGGGCCCAGAGAUACCUCUCCGUUAACCGGAGUGACAAAUCCCAGUCUCGAUUCAUGCCAACCCAAUAGACACUUUCGGAGAUAGCUAUAGUGCACCUUUAUAUCCACCCAGUUACGUUGUGACUUUUGGUACACCCAAAGCAUUCCUACGGUAUCCAGGAGUUGCACAAUCUCAUGGUCUAAGGAAAUGAUACUUGACAUUAGAAAAGCUUUAGCAUACGAACUACACGAUCUUUGUGCUAGGCUUAGGAUUGGGUCUUGUCCAUCACAUCAUUCUGCUAAUGAUGUGAUCCUGUUAUCAACGACAUCCAAUGUACAUGGCCAGGAAACCAUAACCAUCUAUUGAUCAACGAGCUAGUCAACUAGAGGCUUACUAGGGACAUGGUGUUGUCUAUGUACCCACACAUGUAUCUGAGUUUCCUAUCAAUACAAUUAUAGCAUGGAUAAUAAACGAUUAUCAUGAACAAGGAAAUAUAAUAAUAACUAAUUUAUUAUUGCCUCUAGGGCAUAUUUCCAACAGUCUCCCACUUGCACUAGAGUCAAUAAUCUAGUUCACAUCGCCAUGUGAUUAACACUCACAGGUCACAUCGCCAUGUGACCAACAUCCAAAGAGUUUACUAGUGUCACUAAACCAGUUCACAUCAUCAUGUGAUUAAGACUCAAUGAGUUCUGGGGUUUGAUCAUGUUUUGCUUGUAAGAGAGGUUUUAGUCAACGGGUCUGCAACAUUCAGAUCCGUAUGUACUUCGCAAUUCUCUAUGUCAUAUUGUAAAUGCUGCUUCCACGCUCCACUUGGGGCUAUUCCAAAUGGUUGCUCCACUAUACAUAUCCGGUUUGCUACUCAGAGUCACUCGGAUAGGUGUUAAAGCUUGCAUCGACGUAACCCUUUACGCCGAACUCUUUAUCACCUCCAUAAUCGAGAAACAUGUCCUUUAUUUACUCCAAGGACAAUUUUGACCGCUGUCCAAUGAUCCAUUCCUGGAUCAUUCUUGUACCCCUUGACUGACUCAUGGCAAGGCACACUUCCGGUGCGGUACACAACAUAGCAUACUAUAGAGCCUACGUCUGAAGCAUAGGGGACGACCUUCGUCCUUUCUCUCUCUUCUGCCGUGGUCGACCUUUAACUCUUAACUUCAUACCUUACAACUCAGACAAGAACUCCUUCUUUGACUGAUCCAUCUUGAACACCUUCAAGAUUAUGUCAAGGUAUGUGCUCAUUUGAAAGUAUUAUUAAACAUUUUGAUAUAUAUUAUAGAUCUUGAUGCUUAUUGUUCAAGUAGCCUAAUCCAGGUUUUCCAUUGAAAAACAUUUUUCAAACAACCCUAUAUGCUUUCCAGAAAUUCUACAUCAUUUCUGAUCAACAAUAUGUCAACAACAUAUACUCAUCAGAAAUUCUAUAGUGCUCCCACUCACUUCUUUGGAAAUACAAGUUUCUCAUAAACUUUGUAUAAACCCAAAAUCUUUGAUCAUCUUAUCAAAGUGCAUAUUCCAACUCCGAGAUGCUUACUCCAGUCCAUGGAAGGAUCGCUGGAGCUAGCAUACCUUUUAGCAUCCUUAGGAUCGACAAAACCUUUCUGAUUGUAUCACAUACAACCUUUCCUUACAAAAACUGGUAAGGAAACUCAUUUUGACAUCCAUCUGCCAGAUUUCAUAAAUGCAGCUAAUGCUAACAUGAUUCCGACGGACUUAAGCAUCGCUGCGGAUGAGAAAAUCUCAUCGUAGUAAACUCCUUGAACUUGUGAAAAACUCUUCGCCACAAGUCGAGAUUCAUAGACGAUGAAAUUACCGUCCACGUCCAUCUUCUUCUUAAAGAUCCAUUAAUCUUAAUGGCUUGCCGAUCAUCGGGUAAGUCCACCAAAGUCCAUGAUACAUGGAUCCUAUCUCGGAUUUCAUGGCUUCUAACCAUUUGUCGGAAUUUGGGCCCACCAUCGCUUCUCCAUAGCUCAUAGGUUCAUUGUUGUCUAGCAACAUGACCUUCAAGACAGGAUCACCGUACCACUCCGAAGCAGUACGCAUCCUUGUCUCCUUACGAGGUUCGAUAGUGACUUGAUCCGAAGCUUCAUGAUCACUAUCAUAAGCUUCCACUUCAAUUGGUGUAGGUGCCACAGGAACAACUUCCUGUGCCCUGCUACACACUGGUUGAAGUGAUGGUUCAAUAACCUCAUCAAGUCUCCACCAUCCUCCCACUCAAUUCUUUCCAGAGAAACUUUUCCUCGAGAAAGGACCCGUUUCUAGAAAUAAUCACUUUUGCUUCCGGAUCUUAAUUAGGAGGUAUACCCAACCAUUUUGGUUAUCCUAUGAAGAUGCAUUUAUCNNNNNNNNNNNNNNNNNNNNNNNNNNNNNNNNNNNNNNNNNNNNNNNNNNNNNNNNNGUUUUGGGUUCGAGCUUAUCACGAUGAAACUUUUUCACAUAAGCGUCGCAGCCCCAAACUUUCAAGAAACGACAACUUAGGUUUCUCUAAACCAUAGUUCUCACGGUGUCAUCUCAAAGGAAUUACGUGGUGCCCUAUUAAAGUGAGUGCGGUUGUCUCUAAUGCCUAACCCAUGAACGAUAGUGGUAAUUCGACAAGAGACAUCAUGGUACGCACCAUAUCCAAUAGGGUGCAACUAUGAUGUUCGGACACACCAUCAAACUAUGGUGUUCCAGGCGGUAUUAAUUGUGAAACAAUUUCCACAAUGUCUUAAUUGCGUGCCAAAGCUCGUAACUCAGAUACUCAUCUCUAUGAUCAUAUCAUAGACAUUUUAUCCUCUUGUCACAAUGAUCUUCAACUUCACUCUGAAAUUAAUUGAACCAUUCAAUAAUUCAGACUUGUGUUUCAUCAAGUAAAUAUACUCAACAUUUACUCGAAUCAUCUGUGAAGUAAGAACAUAACGAUAUUCACUACAUGCCUCAGCACUCAUUGGACUGCACACAUCAAAAUGUGUUACUUCCAACAAGUUGCUAUCUUGUUCCAUCUUACUAAAAUCGAGGCUUUUUAGUCAUCUUGCCCAUGUGGUAUGAUUUGCAUAUCUCAAGUGAUUCAAAAUCAAGUGAGUCCAAACGAUCCAUCUGCAUGGAGUUUCUUCAUGCGUAUACACCAAUAGACAUGGUUCGCAUGUCUCAAACUUUUCAAACACGAGUGAGUCCAGAGAUCCAUCAACAUGGAGCUUCUUCAUGCGUUUUAUACCAAUAUGACUUACAUGGCAGUGCCACAAGUAAGUGGUACUAUCAUUACUAUCUUAUAUCUUUUGGCAUGAAAAUGUGUAUCACUACGAUCGAGAUUCAAUAAACCAUUCCUUUAGGUGGAAGACCAUUGAAGGUAUUAUUCAAAUAAAUAGAGUAACCAUUAUUCUCCUUAAAUGAAUAACCGUAUUGUGAUAGACAUAAUCCAAUCAUGUCUAUUCUCAACGCAAACACCAAAUGACAAUUAUUCAGGUUUAAUACUAAUCUUGAUGGUAGAGGGAGCGUGCGAUGUUUGAUCACAUCAAACUUGGAAACACUUCCAACACAUAUCGUCAGCUCACCUUUAGCUAGUCUCCGUUUAUUCCGUAGCUCUUUUAUUUUGAGUUACUAACACUUAGCAACCGAACCGGGAUUUUAAUACCCUGGUGCUACUAGGAGUAUUAGUAAAGUACACAUUAACAUAAUGUAUAUCCAAUAUACUUCUAUCGACCUUGGCAGCCUUCUCAUCUACCAAGUAUCUAGGGUAAUCCUGCUCUAGUGGCUGUUCCCCUUAUUACAGAAGCACUUAGUCUCGGGUUUGGGUUCAACCUUGGGUUUAUUCACUAGAGUAGCAGCUGAUUUGCCGUUUCAUGAAGUAUCCCUUCUUGCCCUUGCCCUUCUUGAAACUAGUGGUUUUACCAACCAUCAACAAUUGAUGCUCCUUCUUGAUUUCUACUUUCGCGGUGUCGAACAUCGCGAAUAGCUCAAGGAUCAUCAUAUCUAUCCCUGUUAAGUUAUAGUUCAUCACAAAGCUCUAGUAGCUUGGUGGCAAUGUCUUUGGAGAAACAUCACUGUCUCAUCUGGAAGAUUAACUCCCACUCGAUUCAAGUGAUUGUUGUACCCAGACAAUCUGAGUAUAAGCUCAACGAUUGAGAUCUUCUCCCUUGGUUUGUAGGCUAGAAAACUCAUCGGAGGUGUCAUACCUCUUGACGUGGGCACGAGCCUGAAAUCCCAAUUUCAGCCCUCGAAACAUCUCAUAUGUUCCGCCACGUUUCGAAAACGUCUUUUGGUGCCUCAACUCUAAACCAUUUAACUGAACUAUCACGUAGUUAUCAAAAACGUGUAUGUCAAAUGUUCGCAACAUCCACAGACAACAUUCGAGGUUCAGCACACUGAGCGGUGCAUUAAGGACAUAAGCCUUCUACGAAGCAACGAGGACAAUCCUCAGUUUAUGGACCCAGUCCGCAUAAUUGCUACUAUCAACUUUCAACUAAAUAUUCUCUAGGAACAUAUCUAAAACAAUAGAACUAAAGCGCGAGCUAUGACAUAAUUUGCAAAAAAUCUUUUGACUAUGUUCAGGAUAAUUAAGUUCAUCUUAUGAACUCCCACUCAUAUAGACAUCCCUCUAGUCAUCUAAGUGAUUACAUGAUCCAAGUCAACUAGGCCGUGUCCGAUCAUCACGUGAGACGGACUAGUCAUCAUCGCUGAACAUCUUCAUGUUGAUCAUAUCUACUAUACGACUCAUGCUCGACCUUUCGGUCUCUUGUGUUCCGAGGCCAUGUUUGUACAUGCUAGGCUCGUCAAGUUAACCUAAGUGUUUCGCGUGUGUAAAUCUGGCUUACACCCGUUGUAUGUGAAUGUAAGAAUAUAUCACACCCGAGCAUCACGUGGUGCUUCGAAACAAUGAACUUUCGCAAUGGUGCACAGUUAGGGGGAACACUUUCUUGAAAUUUUAAUGAGGGAUCAUCUUAUUUACUACCGUCAUUCUAAGCAAAUAAGAUGUAGAAACAUGAUAAACAUCACAUGCAAUCAAAAAGUGACAUGAUAUGGCCAAUAUCAUUUUGCUCCUUUUGAUCUCCAUCUUCGGGGCUCCAUGAUCAUCAUCGUCACUGGCAUGACACCAUGAUCUCCAUCAUCAUGAUCUCCAUCAUCGUGUCUGCAUGAAGUUGUCUCGCCAACUUAUUACUUCUACUACUAUGGCUACCGGUUAUCAAUAAAGUAAAGUAAUUACAUGGCGUUGUUCAAUGACACGCAGGUCAUACAAUAAAUAAAGACAACUCCUAUGGCUCCUGCCGGUUGUCAUACUCAUCGACAUGCAAGUCGUGAUUCUUAUUACAAGAACAUGAUCAAUCUCAUACAUCACAUAUCAUUCAUCACAUUCUUCUUGGCCAUAUCACAUCACAUAGCAUACCCUGCAAAAACAAGUUAGACGUCCUCUAAAUGUUGUUUGCAUGUUUUACGUGGCUGCUAUGGGUUUCUAGCAAGAACAUUUCUUACCUACGCAAAACCACAACGUGAUAUGCCAAUUGCUAUUUACCCUUCAUAAGGACCCUUUUCAACGAAUCCGUUCCGACUAAAGUGGGAGAGACUAACACCCGCUAGCCACCUUAUGCACCAAGUGCAUGUCAGUCGGUGGAACCUGUCUCACGUAAGAGUACGUGUAAGGUCGGUCCGGGCCGCUUCAUCCCACAAUACCGUCGAAACAAGAUUGGACUAGUAACGGUAAGAAUAUUGAACAAAAUCAACACCCACAACUACUUUGUGUUCUACUCGUGCAUAGAAUCUACGCAAUAGACCUAGCUCAUGAUGCCACUGUUGGGGAACGUAGCAGAAAUUCAAAAUUUUCCUACGUGUCACCAAGAUCUAUCUAUGGAGAAACCAGCAACGAGGGGAAGGAGAGUGCAUCAACAUACCCUUGUAGAUUGCUAAGCGGAAGUAUUCAAGAGAACGGGGUUGAAGGAGUCGUACUCGUCGUGAUCCAAAUCACCAGAGAUCCUAGUGCCGAACGGACGACACCUCCGCGUUCAACACACGUACAACCCGGUGACGUCUCCCAUGCCUUGAUCCAGCAAGGAGAGAUGGAGAGGUUAUGUAAGACUCCGUCCAGCAGCAGCACAAUGGCGUGGUGGUCGUGGAGGAGCGUGGCAAUCCUGCAGGGCUUCGCCAAGCACCGCGGGAGAGGAGGAGAACUUGGGAGAGGGGUGGGCUGCGCCAGAACUUGGGUGCGGCUAUCCUCCCACCCCCCACAUAUAUAUAGGGGAAAGGGAGAGGGGGGGGCGGCCUCCUCAGAUCCAAUCUGAGGAGGGGGCGGCGGCCAAGGGGGGGAGGAGUGCCUCCCAAGUCAAGUGGAGGCCCUCCCCCUUAGGGUUUCCCCUCUCCCAUGCGCAUGGGCCUUGGGGGGGCUGGUGCCCCUGGACCAUUAAGGCUAGGGAGCCCCCCUACAGCCCAUGCUGCUGUAUUGGACAUGGUGGAACAAUUUCCGGACCUCCGGACCCCACCGGAAUCCUCCGGAACCUUCUGGAAGCUUCCCGGUACAAUACCGGAAAAACCCGAACUUUUCCCGGAACCCGAAAAACAACUUUCCAUAUAUAAAUCUUUACCUCCGGACCAUUCUGGAACUCCUCGUGAUGUCUGGGAUCUCAUCCGGGACUCUGAACAACAUUCGGUAACCACAUACAAACUUCCUUUAUAACCCUAGCGUCAUCGAACCUUAAGUGUGUAGACCCUACGGGUUCGGGAACCAUGCAGACAUGACCUAGACGUUCUCCGGCCAAUAACCAACAGCGGGAUCUGGAUACCCAUGUUGGCUCCCACAUGUUCCACGAUGAUCUCAUCGGAUGAACCACGAUGUCAAGGACUCACUCAAUCCCGUAUACAAUUCCCUUUGUCUAGCGGUAUUGUACUUGCCCGAGAUUCGAUCGUCGGUAUGCCGAUACCUUGUUCAAUCUCGUUACCGGCAAGUCUCUUUACUCGUUCCAUAACACAUCAUCCCUUGAUCAACCCCUUGGUCACAUUGUGCACAUUAUGAUGAUGUCCUACCGAGUGGGCCCAGAGAUACCUCUCCGUUACCCGGAGUGACAAAUCCCAGUCUCGAUUCAUGCCAACCCAAUAGACACUUUCGGAGAUAGCUGUAGUGCACCUUUAUAGCCACCCAGUUACGUUGUGACGUUUGGUACACCCAAAGCAUUCCUACGGUAUCCGGGAGUUGCACAAUCUCAUGGUCUAAGGAAAUGAUACUUGACAUUAGAAAAGCUUUAGCAUACGAACUACACGAUCUUUGUGCUAGGCUUAGGAUUGGGUCUUGUCCAUCACAUCAUUCUGCUAAUGAUGUGAUCCUGUUAUCAACGACAUCCAAUGUCCAUGGCCAGGAAACCGCAACCAUCUAUUGAUCAACGAGCUAGUCAACUAGAGGCUUACUAGGGACAUGGUGUUGUCUAUGUACCCACACAUGUAUCUGAGUUUCCUAUCAAUACAAUUAUAGCAUGGAUAAUAAACGAUUAUCAUGAACAAGGAAAUAUAAUAAUAACUAAUUUAUUAUUGCCUCUAGGGCAUAUUUCCAACAGUCUCCCACUUGCACUAGAGUCAAUAAUCUAGUUCACAUCGCCAUGUGAUUAACACUCACAGGUCACAUCGCCAUGUGACCAACAUCCAAAGAGUUUACUAGUGUCACUAAACCAGUUCACAUCAUCAUGUGAUUAAGACUCAAUGAGUUCUGGGGUUUGAUCAUGUUUUGCUUGUAAGAGAGGUUUUAGUCAACGGGUCUGCAACAUUCAGAUCCGUAUGUACUUCGCAAUUCUCUAUGUCAUAUUGUAAAUGCUGCUUCCACGCUCCACUUGGGGCUAUUCCAAAUGGUUGCUCCACUAUACAUAUCCGGUUUGCUACUCAGAGUCACUCGGAUAGGUGUUAAAGCUUGCAUCGACGUAACCCUUUACGCCGAACUCUUUAUCACCUCCAUAAUCGAGAAACAUGUCCUUUAUUUACUCCAAGGACAAUUUUGACCGCUGUCCAAUGAUCCAUUCCUGGAUCAUUCUUGUACCCCUUGACUGACUCAUGGCAAGGCACACUUCCGGUGCGGUACACAACAUAGCAUACUAUAGAGCCUACGUCUGAAGCAUAGGGGACGACCUUCGUCCUUUCUCUCUCUUCUGCCGUGGUCGACCUUUAACUCUUAACUUCAUACCUUACAACUCAGACAAGAACUCCUUCUUUGACUGAUCCAUCUUGAACACCUUCAAGAUUAUGUCAAGGUAUGUGCUCAUUUGAAAGUAUUAUUAAACAUUUUGAUAUAUAUUAUAGAUCUUGAUGCUUAUUGUUCAAGUAGCCUAAUCCAGGUUUUCCAUUGAAAAACAUUUUUCAAACAACCCUAUAUGCUUUCCAGAAAUUCUACAUCAUUUCUGAUCAACAAUAUGUCAACAACAUAUACUCAUCAGAAAUUCUAUAGUGCUCCCACUCACUUCUUUGGAAAUACAAGUUUCUCAUAAACUUUGUAUAAACCCAAAAUCUUUGAUCAUCUUAUCAAAGUGCAUAUUCCAACUCCGAGAUGCUUACUCCAGUCCAUGGAAGGAUCGCUGGAGCUAGCAUACCUUUUAGCAUCCUUAGGAUCGACAAAACCUUUCUGAUUGUAUCACAUACAACCUUUCCUUACAAAAACUGGUAAGGAAACUCAUUUUGACAUCCAUCUGCCAGAUUUCAUAAAUGCAGCUAAUGCUAACAUGAUUCCGACGGACUUAAGCAUCGCUACGGAUGAGAAAAUCUCAUCGUAGUAAACUCCUUGAACUUGUGAAAAACUCUUCGCCACAAGUCGAGAUUCAUAGACGAUGAAAUUACCGUCCACGUCCAUCUUCUUCUUAAAGAUCCAUUAAUCUUAAUGGCUUGCCGAUCAUCGGGUAAGUCCACCAAAGUCCAUGAUACAUGGAUCCUAUCUCGGAUUUCAUGGCUUCUAACCAUUUGUCGGAAUUUGGGCCCACCAUCGCUUCUCCAUAGCUCAUAGGUUCAUUGUUGUCUAGCAACAUGACCUUCAAGACAGGAUCACCGUACCACUCCGAAGCAGUACGCAUCCUUGUCUCCUUACGAGGUUCGAUAGUGACUUGAUCCGAAGCUUCAUGAUCACUAUCAUAAGCUUCCACUUCAAUUGGUGUAGGUGCCACAGGAACAACUUCCUGUGCCCUGCUACACACUGGUUGAAGUGAUGGUUCAAUAACCUCAUCAAGUCUCCACCAUCCUCCCACUCAAUUCUUUCCAGAGAAACUUUUCCUCGAGAAAGGACCCGUUUCUAGAAAUAAUCACUUUUGCUUCCGGAUCUUAAUUAGGAGGUAUACCCAACCAUUUUGGUUAUCCUAUGAAGAUGCAUUUAUCCGUUUUGGGUUCGAGCUUAUCACGAUGAAACUUUUUCACAUAAGCGUCGCAGCCCCAAACUUUCAAGAAACGACAACUUAGGUUUCUCUAAACCAUAGUUCUCACGGUGUCAUCUCAAAGGAAUUACGUGGUGCCCUAUUAAAGUGAGUGCGGUUGUCUCUAAUGCCUAACCCAUGAACGAUAGUGGUAAUUCGACAAGAGACAUCAUGGUACGCACCAUAUCCAAUAGGGUGCAACUAUGAUGUUCGGACACACCAUCAAACUAUGGUGUUCCAGGCGGUAUUAAUUGUGAAACAAUUUCCACAAUGUCUUAAUUGCGUGCCAAAGCUCGUAACUCAGAUACUCAUCUCUAUGAUCAUAUCAUAGACAUUUUAUCCUCUUGUCACAAUGAUCUUCAACUUCACUCUGAAAUUAAUUGAACCAUUCAAUAAUUCAGACUUGUGUUUCAUCAAGUAAAUAUACUCAACAUUUACUCGAAUCAUCUGUGAAGUAAGAACAUAACGAUAUUCACUACAUGCCUCAGCACUCAUUGGACUGCACACAUCAAAAUGUGUUACUUCCAACAAGUUGCUAUCUUGUUCCAUCUUACUAAAAUCGAGGCUUUUUAGUCAUCUUGCCCAUGUGGUAUGAUUUGCAUAUCUCAAGUGAUUCAAAAUCAAGUGAGUCCAAACGAUCCAUCUGCAUGGAGUUUCUUCAUGCGUAUACACCAAUAGACAUGGUUCGCAUGUCUCAAACUUUUCAAACACGAGUGAUUCCAGAGAUCCAUCAACAUGGAGCUUCUUCAUGCGUUUUAUACCAAUAUGACUUACAUGGCAGUGCCACAAGUAAGUGGUACUAUCAUUACUAUCUUAUAUCUUUUGGCAUGAAAAUGUGUAUCACUAUGAUCGAGAUUCAAUAAACCAUUCCUUUAGGUGCAAGACCAUUGAAGGUAUUAUUCAAAUAAAUAGAGUAACCAUUAUUCUCCUUAAAUGAAUAACCGUAUUGUGAUAGACAUAAUCCAAUCAUGUCUAUGCUCAACGCAAACACCAAAUGACAAUUAUUCAGGUUUAAUACUAAUCUUGAUGGUAGAGGGAGCGUGCGAUGUUUGAUCACAUCAAACUUGGAAACACUUCCAACACAUAUCGUCAGCUCACCUUUAGCUAGUCUCCGUUUAUUCCGUAGCUCUUUUAUUUCGAGUUACUAACACUUAGCAACCGAACCGGGAUCUUAAUACCCUGGUGCUACUAGGAGUACUAGUAAAGUACACAUUAACAUAAUGUAUAUCCAAUAUACUUCUAUCGACCUUGCCAGCCUUCUCAUCUACCAAGUAUCUAGGGUAAUCCUGCUCUAGUGGCUGUUCCCCUUAUUACAGAAGCACUUAGUCUCGGGUUUGGGUUCAACCUUGGGUUUAUUCACUAGAGCAGCAGCUGAUUUGCCGUUUCAUGAAGUAUCCCUUCUUGCCCUUGCCCUUCUUCAAACUAGUGGUUUUACCAACCAUCAACAAUUGAUGCUCCUUCUUGAUUUCUACUUUCGCGGUGUCGAACAUCGCGAAUAGCUCAAGGAUCAUCAUAUCUAUCCCUGUUAAGUUAUAGUUCAUCACAAAGCUCUAGUAGCUUGGUGGCAAUGUCUUUGGAGAAACAUCACUGUCUCAUCUGGAAGAUUAACUCCCACUCGAUUCAAGUGAUUGUUGUACCCAGACAAUCUGAGUAUAAGCUCAAUGAUUGAGAUCUUCUCCCUUGGUUUGUAGGCUAGAAAACUCAUCGGAGGUGUCAUACCUCUUGACGUGGGCACGAGCCUGAAAUCCCAAUUUCAGCCCUCGAAACAUCUCAUAUGUUCCGCCACGUUUCGAAAACGUCUUUUGGUGCCUCAACUCUAAACCAUUUAACUGAACUAUCACGUAGUUAUCAAAAACGUGUAUGUCAAAUGUUCGCAACAUCCACAGACAACAUUCGAGGUUCAGCACACCGAGCGGUGCAUUAAGGACAUAAGCCUUCUACGAAGCAACGAGGACAAUCCUCAGUUUAUGGACCCAGUCCGCAUAAUUGCUACUAUCAACUUUCAACUAAAUAUUCUCUAGGAACAUAUCUAAAACAACAGAACUAAAGCGCGAGCUACGACAUAAUUUGCAAAAAAUCUUUUGACUAUGUUCAGGAUAAUUAAGUUCAUCUUAUGAACUCCCACUCAUAUAGACAUCCCUCUAGUCAUCUAAGUGAUUACAUGAUCCAAGUCAACUAGGCCGUGUCCGAUCAUCACGUGAGACGGACUAGUCAUCAUCGCUGAACAUCUUCAUGUUGAUCAUAUCUACUAUACGACUCAUGCUCGACCUUUCGGUCUCUUGUGUUCCGAGGCCAUGUUUGUACAUGCUAGGCUCGUCAAGUUAACCUAAGUGUUUCGCGUGUGUAAAUCUGGCUUACACCCAUUGUAUGUGAACGUAAGAAUAUAUCACACCCGAGCAUCACGUGGUGCUUCGAAACAACGAACUUUUGCAAUGGUGCACAGUUAGGGGGAACACUUUCUUGAAAUUUUAAUGAGGGAUCAUCUUAUUUACUACCGUCACUCUAAGCAAAUAAGAUGUAGAAACAUGAUAAACAUCACAUGCAAUCAAAAAGUGACAUGAUAUGGCCAAUAUCAUUUUGCUCCUUUUGAUCUCCAUCUUCGGGGCUCCAUGAUCAUCAUCGUCACUGGCAUGACACCAUGAUCUCCAUCAUCAUGAUCUCCAUCAUCGUGUCUGCAUGAAGUUGUCUCGCCAACUUAUUACUUCUACUACUAUGGCUACCGGUUAUCAAUAAAGUAAAGUAAUUACAUGGCGUUGUUCAAUGACACGCAGGUCAUACAAUAAAUAAAGACAACUCCUAUGGCUCCUGCCGGUUGUCAUACUCAUCGACAUGCAAGUCGUGAUUCUUAUUACAAGAACAUGAUCAAUCUCAUACAUCACAUAUCAUUCAUCACAUUCUUCUUGGCCAUAUCACAUCACAUAGCAUACCCUGCAAAAACAAGUUAGACGUCCUCUAAUUGUUGUUUGCAUGUUUUACGUGGCUGCUAUGGGUUUCUAGCAAGAACGUUUCUUACCUACGCAAAACCACAACGUGAUAUGCCAAUUGCUAUUUACCCUUCAUAAGGACCCUUUUCAACGAAUCCGUUCCGACUAAAGUGGGAGAGACUGGCACCCGCUAGCCACCUUAUGCACCAAGUGCAUGUCAGUCGGUGGAACCUGUCUCACGUAAGAGUACGUGUAAGGUCGGUCCGGGCCGCUUCAUCCCACAAUACCGUCGAAACAAGAUUGGACUAGUAACGGUAAGAAUAUUGAACAAAAUCAACACCCACAACUACUUUGUGUUCUACUCGUGCAUAGAAUCUACGCAAUAGACCUAGCUCAUGAUGCCACUGUUGGGGAACGUAGCAGAAAUUCAAAAUUUUCCUACGUGUCACCAAGAUCUAUCUAUGGAGAAACCAGCAACGAGGGGAAGGAGAGUGCAUCAACAUACCCUUGUAGAUUGCUAAGCGGAAGUAUUCAAGAGAACGGGGUUGAAGGAGUCGUACUCGUCGUGAUCCAAAUCACCGGAGAUCCUAGUGCCGAACGGACGGCACCUCCGCGUUCAACACACGUACAGCCCGGUGACGUCUCCCAUGCCUUGAUCCAGCAAGGAGAGAGGGAGAGGUUGAGUAAGACUCCAUCCAGCAGCAGCACAACGGCGUGGUGGUGGUGAAGGAGCAUGGCAAUCCUGCAGGGCUUCGCCAAGCACCGCGGGAGAGGAGGAGAACUUGGGAGAGGGGGAGGGAUGCGCCAGAACUUGGGUGCGAUUGCCCUNNNNNNNNNNNNNNNNNNNNNNNNNNNNNNNNNNNNNNNNNNNNNNNNNNNNNNNNNNNNNNNNNNNNNNNNNNNNNNNNNNNNNNNNNNNNNNNNNNNNNNNNNNNNNNNNNNNNNNNNNNNNNNNNNNNNNNNNNNNNNNNNNNNNNNNNNNNNNNNNNNNNNNNNNNNNNNNNNNNNNNNNNNNNNNNNNNNNNNNNNNNNNNNNNNNNNNNNNAAGGGGGGCGGAGUGCCUCCCAAGUCAAGUGGAGGCCCUCCCCCUUAGGGUUUCCCCUCUCCCAUGCGCAUGGGCCUUGGGGGGGGGGGGCUCGUGCCCCUGGCCCAUUAAGGAUAGGGCGUCCCCCUACAGCCCAUGCUGCUGUAUUGGACGUGGUGGAACAAUUUCCGGACCUCCGGACCCCACCGGAAUCCUCCGGAUCCUUCUGGAAGCUUCCCGGUACAAUACCGAAAAAACCCGAACAACAACUUUCCAUGUAUAAACCUUUACCUCCGGACCAUUCCAGAACUCCUCGUGACGUCCGGGAUCUCAUCCAGGACUCUGAACAACAUUCGGUAACCACAUACAAACUUCCUUUAUAACCCUAGCGUCGUCGAACCUUAAGUGUGUAGACCCAACAGGUUCGGGAACCAUGCAGACAUGACCUAGGCGUUCUCCGGCCAAUAACCAACUGCGGGAUCUGGAUACCCAUGUUGGCUCCCACAUGUUCCACGAUGAUCUCAUCGGAUGAACCACGAUGUCAAGGACUCAAUCAAUCCCGUAUAUAAUUCCCUUUGUCUAGCGGUAUUGUACUUGCCCGAGAUUCGAUCGUCGGUAUGCCGAUACCUUGUUCAAUCUCGUUACCGGCAAGUCUCUUUACUCGUUCCAUAACACAUCAUCCCGUGAUCAACCCCUUGGUCACAUUGUGCACAUUAUGAUGAUGUCCUACCGAGUGGGCCCAGAUAUACCUCUCCGUUAACCGGAGUGACAAAUCCCAGUCUUGAUUCGUGCCAACCCAAUAGACACUUUUGGAGAUAGCUGUAGUGCACCUUUAUAGACACCUAGUUACGUUGUGACGUUUGGUAGACCCAAAGCAUUCCUACGGUAUCCGGGAGUUGCACAAUCUCAUGGUCUAAGGAAAUGAUACUUGACAUUAGAAAAGCUUUAGCAUACGAACUACACGAUCUUUGUGCUAGGCUUAGGAUUGGGUCUUGUCCAUCACAUCAUUUUGCUAAUGAUGUGAUCCUGUUAUCAACGACAUCCAAUGUCCAUGGCCAGGAAACCGUAACCAUCUAUUGAUCAACGAGCUAGUCAACUAGAGGCUUACUAGGGACAUGGUGUUGUCCAUGUACCCACACAUGUAUCUGAGUUUCCUAUCAAUACAAUUAUAGCAUGGAUAAUAAACGAUUAUCAUGAACAAGGAAAUAUAAUAAUAACUAAUUUAUUAUUGCCUCUAGGGCAUAUUUCCAACAGUUGCAAAACUGAGGGAUUAUGUAGCUCAGGCUAAGGAGGAGCUUAAUGCUGAGAAUGCUAGGAUGGCAACAGAGCGAGCUGCUUUGGAGGCUGAGUCACAGCAAGUACAUGCCAAGGCCUUUCAACUAAGUUUGGACCUACGAAGGAGGCACCAAAUCCGUUUGCCUCCGCAGUUCGAAGAGAGGAAUCUCUUCACUACGCUCGACGCAGGGCCAAGUAACCCGCCCGAUGUGACCCGGGCCGCUGAGGCGCCUGUGACCGGAGCGGUAGCUCAACCCUGCGCAACAGACCCGCUCCAUGUAGAUUUAACCCCGCUUCAGCGAGUAUCAACACCUCUGAGUCAUUACUCUAACCCCCUGGAUAACAUGAUUGCUACAGCUUCACGCCUGGCGGCUCUUCCCAUUGAAGGCGAGUCUCCUGUUGCGAUAGAGGCCCGGAACGAUGUGGAACUUCUUUAGACGGCGGUUUCUCAGCAUGCGGCGUACUCUUAUAGCCGCGAGCGAACCCAUUCAACUCCGUGUCAGAGUCUAAGCUAGAGCCGGCGUGUUGAGUCGCCGGCGGUUUCCAGCAGUGAACAGUGUCGUAACCUGCCCCAUGGGCAUGACCUGCCCCAUGGUGACACUACAAAAAAAAUACACUUCCGUGAUGAUACAUGUUUGUCACAGUAGGUCAUGUUUUUGUCAUGCAUGUACAUCCAUGACGAUUUUAUGACAGAAUCAAGAUAGUCAUACCUGUGCUGUCGUAGAAGUGUUCCAUUACAUUACCAAAAUUAUCAUCACGGAAGUGUCCAUUUCCAUGACGAUAAAUCAUGCUGUCACGCCCAAUAUGUGAUACUAUCCUAAAGAGACUCGAAGGUCCCACAAGGAUAGAACCGCAUAUUGAAACGCUUUUGCAAGGUGGAUAUCAUUACAUCAACAUUACAUAAUAGAUGGGGAUACAUACAUAAGGCAUACAAUGCCACAUGAAUACAACAAUAUAUCAUACACAAUAUCAACAUCCGACUACGGAUGAAACACAAACAGAAACUCAAACGACAUCCACCCUGCUAGCCCAGGCUGCCGACCUGGAACCUAUCCCCUGAUCGAAGAAGAAGCAGAAGAAGAACUCCAAAACAAGCAAACAUCGCUCUCGCGUCAUCAUCAUCACACAAUCUAUACCUGCAACUGUUGUUGUAGUAAUCUGUGAGCCACGAGGACUCAGCAAUCCCAUUACCAUGGGUAUCAAGACUAGCAAAGCUUAAAAGGGAAAGGAAGAAGUAAAGUGGUGAGGCUGCAGCAGCGACUAAGCAUAUAUGGUGGCUAACAUACGCAAAUAAGAGCGAGAAGAGAGCAAAUGGAACGGUCGUGAAGCUAGCAAUGAUCAAGAAGUGAUCCUGAACUCCUACUUACGUCAAACAUUACCCAAAACCAUGUUCACUUCCCGGACUCCGCCGGAAAGAGACCAUCACAGCUACACACGCGGUUGAUGCGUUUUAAUUCGAAUCAGGUGUCAAGUUAUGUACAACCGGACAUUAACAAAUUCCCAUCUGCCCAUAAUCGUGGGCACGGCUUUCGAAAGUUUAAACCCUGCAGGGGUGUCCCAACUUAGCCCAUGAUAAGCUCUCGCGAUCAACGAAGGAUAUACCUUCUCCCAGGAAAACCCGAUCAGACUCGGAAUCCCGGUUUACAAGACAUUUCGACAAUGGUAAAACAAGAGCAGCAAAGCCGCCCGAUGUGCCGACAAUCCCGAUAGGAGCUACACAUAUCUCGUUCUUAGGGCAACACCGGAUGAGACAUCCUACGAGUAAAACCAGACCUCGAGUUUCCCCGAGGGGGCCCCGCAGUCUACUCAGUUCGGACCAACACUUAGACAAGCAUUGGCCCAGGGGGGCUAAAAAAGAUGACCCUCGGGCUCCGGAAACCCAAGGGAAAAAGGGCUAGGUGAGGCAAAUGGUAAAACCAAGGUUGGGCCUUGCUGGAGGAGUUUUAUUCAAAGCGAACUGUCAAGGGGGUCCCAUAAAUCACCCAACCGCGUAAGGAACGCAAAAUCCGGGAACAUAACACCGGUAUGACGGAAACUAGGGCGGCAAGAGUGGAACAAAACACCAGGCAUAAGGCCGAGUCUUCCACCCUUUACCAAGUAUAUAGAUGCAUUAAUUAAAUAAGAGAUAUUGUGAUAUCCCGACAUAAUCAUGUCCAUCAUAGGGCAAUCUUCAACUUCACCUGCAACUAACAACGCUAUAAGAGGGGCUGAGCAAAGCGGUAACAUAGCCAAACAAUGGUUUGCUAGGAAGGGUGUCAAAGGUUAGAGGCUGACAUGGCAAUUUGGGAGGCUUGAUAAACAGUUGAUAGGUAGCACAGCAAAGCGAUAGAACGAAGCAACUAGCAUAGCAAUGAUAGUAGUGAGAUCCAGGGUAGCGGUCAUCUUGCCUGAAAUCCUGCAAGGAAGAAGAACGAGUCCAUGAAGAAGACGAACGGGAGUAGUCGAACGAAUCCUCACAAUCACAACAUUACCAGAACUAAGAAGCAACACCGGAAAGAAACAAACAACAUGGUAAAUGCAUAAGCAUAAACAUGGCAUGAUGCACAAACAAGUAUGAUGCAUGUUCGGUUUAAAUGAGGCAUGGCAUGGCAAAGUGCAACAAACAUUACUACAAGUUAAGUGGAGUUCAAUAUGCAACGAGUUGCAUAUUGACAAAACACCACAAGCAGUUAUUUAGUUCACUCUUGUUUAGGUACACAACAAUAUUAAAUGUUGUUAAACAUGGCAAGAGAUGAAACAUAAGUAAACUAACUAUCUAGACAAGUUUAAAUGGGACCGGAACAACAAACAACAAUUCCGGUAAGUCCCCAUAUACAUAUUUUAGAUUCGGUACUGUUCUGCCCUAAAACAUAUUUUAAAGUUAUUAAACAUGCAAAAUAAAGUGCACCAUGUUAAACUAGGCAUUUUCCCACCCCAAUUACAUAUAAAGAACGUUUAAAACCGAGCUACGGUUAUUUAGUUAUGAAAUAAAACAUGUUAGCAUGGCAUUUGAGCAAAUUUAAACAAACAGCAUUUUAAAUAUUUUAAACAUGGAUGAAAGUUGCAUAUUAUUAAUCUACACAAAAAUCUAAGCAUUUUACAUGUUGAAAUCAUUUUAAUAUGAUGCACGGUUGAGGAGUUAUUAUAUGCAUGAACAACAGGGGGUUUUCUGCAAUUAUGAAAAUCCUGGGAUAAUUAGACAAAUUCGCAGUGCAGGAAAAAAAUACACAUGGGCUGAAUCUGGAGCACUGUUGGGCUGAACAGACAGGAGGGGCUGUGGGGAGCUCACCAUGGGCUUUGGCCCGGUUCAGUGGAGAGGGAGGCCUGCAGGGACGCGAGGCGAGCUGGACCUGAUCUGGAGGCCAGCAGGCCGGCUGGGAACGCCUGGCUGGGCCUUGCCGCGGCUGCAGCCCACACAGCUGGCCAGCGCGGUCAACGCGUGGCUGGACCGAGCGAGCUGCUGCUCUCGUUUCUAACGAACAAAGAACAGAAGCAGCAGCAGGUUCAGGGCGAUGCAGAAGACAGCGGCAGCGGGACUUGGCGAAGGCGGGGAAGGUGCAAGACUAGACCGGGCCGGAGCUCGAUGUGGAUGCCGAGGGGAACCAAAUCUGAUGGGCGGCGCCUUGAUCUAAAGAAGAGGAUGGCCAUGGCGCUCGAUGCAAGGACACAGGAGGCGGGGCUUGGUGCAGCGACUUCAGAGGAAGCAGGGAGAGGGACUUGGCGGUGCAGUGGCUCUCGAGGCAGGCGCGCGAGGUGAGGGACUUGGCGGCCCGGUGAUGGGGUUGACCGCUACCUCCGGCUCGAAGCAGACCGCAGGGCGAGGCAAGGACAAAGCAGGGCGUGGCGCGGAGCACGCGCGAGGUGAGGUUCGAGCGGGCGAAGCAGAGGACGGGGUCGAGCUCGUCCCCGAGCAGAGGAUGACAGUGCUGUUGCUUUGAGGCGUCGGCCAUGGGAGCUCCGGUGAGUUCCCUGUGAAGGAGAGCGGGCGGUUCCUGUCCAAGGCAGAGAGAGAGCCCUGAGAGAGAGAUGAAUACAGAGGGAGGAGGAAGAACGAGGGAAGGAGGUGGGGCAUGGCGCUGGACCUGUGGCCGCCGACGGCGACAGUCGGAGGUGUGGGCGGAGAUUGAGGCGGCCUGGGGGACGAGGGAGCCCCACGGGCAUGGGCUCUCGGGCACGGGACGGUGGCCUGGUCUCGGGCGAGCUGAGAAGUCCGGCAACGACGGGGAUGGCAUGGAGGCGAACGGAGGUCGGGCGCUGCUUCUGAUCUGACCUGGAUCGAAGCACAGGAGGAAGGGGACGAGGCGCUCGGGCCUUGCGGCGCUGCGGAAGGAGGAGGUAGGCGUUGGUUGGAGGGAGUGGUUGGGCGGCGGUGCAAAUCGAGGGAGGCGGUCUGAGGGCGAGAGAGGAUCUGGAUCGGGGGAAUGAGGGGAUCCCGAGGAAGAAAUGUAGGUGGGUGGCGGCGAGGAUGGGAAGGACGGGACAGCCAUCCGAGAUUUUAGGGUUAGGUCGGUUUAAAUAGUAGUUGGAUUAGGUUAGUUUAGGGGUUAAUCCGUCCCUUCGAUCACAAUCGAAAUGUCUAGAAAAAAUAGGCAGGGAGUCCAAAUAAGAAAACAGGGAUGUUUUAUAGAUGUUUGGGGAUGAUCCGAAUCCAACGGUGAUGACUGAGCGGUUCGGGUUCGGGACAAUUUUCGGACGCGCGCAAGAGGGGGUUGGUGGCGUGCAGAGAGGUUAGGUGGUCUGACAAGAGGGAAAUGCAAACAUGGUUGGUCUCGGAACGGUCAACGAAAUUAAGGGGGGAACGCAGCAACUACGAAUGGGUGCAAGCUUUAUGAAAACAAUGACGGCAACGAUUGCCGAUGCAAUGCAAAUGAUGACAUGAGAUGAAAUGCAAGACCUGAACAAAAAGCAAAACAAAAAAAAACAAAAA